GGACUCGGCGAGUCUAAGCCAUGCAUGAACUCAAACUCACUCCUGAGGUCAGAUCCGUUCUAGUAACUCAUAGAUCCAGUCCUUCCAAGCACAUUUAUCACGUAAAGUUACAAUCUUGGUGCUCAUGCAAAGGUCCAAAGGCUUUAUUUGAUGAUAUGGUCUCUAGAAUGCUAUUCUAAGCUCAUGGCCUCCAUUAACACUCAUAAAGCUUGAGGGAAAAGAGUCUCUGGACCUCUUUGGGUCCAGAUCUAAAGCAUCAACACAAAAAGAGGCCAAUUACUCCAUGAAUCAUUCCACAAAGAAGCCCUAACUCUAAGAUUUACACCAAGGGCUGAGAAAGGAACGAAUGGUUACCUCAAAUGAAGUCUCUGGACUCAGGAAUCACUGGAUUAGCACCUCCUUUGGUCUCCUCUUGCCUUGAUCCUCUUCUAUAUGCAAAAUCACCCACAAAUAAUCAAGGAUCUUCCUCUUUUCUCUCACAAAACGCUCAAGGACUCUUUUAGGGUUCUCUCUGGGGUUGGUGGCCGCAAAUGACGGCCAUAAGCCCCUUUAAAUAGGUCUCAUACCCUGAAAUUUAGGGUUUCAUUAAACAGCGUGGACUCGCCGAGUCCACCUUUUGGACUCGCCGAGUCCGGACGCGAACCCUUUCCCAAACCGCGAUCAUACUCGGCGAGUUUGAGCUCCAACUCGCCGAGUCUCCUCACAAAACACCAAAAUUAAGAAGAAUAAAUAAUACCUGGGAAUCCGGGCUGUUACAAUUCUCCCCCACUAGAACUAGACUUCGCCCUCGAAGUCUCGCUCUGCAAAUAACUCCGGAUGCUGCUCACGCAUCUCAAGCUCCGGCUCCCAAGUCAUCUCGGACCCCUUACGAUGUCGCCACUGAACCAAAACCAAGGGUAUCUCCUUUUUCCUCAGAACCUUGAUUUUCCGAUCUCUGAUUGCCACUGGUCUCUCAGCAUAAUUCAGGCUCGCAUCCACCUGAAUAUCCUCUAAUGGAACCACUGCCGACUCAUCGGCUAUACAUUUCCUCAGUUGCGACACAUGAAAAGUGUCGUGAAUCUGCCCCAACUCUGCUGGCAAAUCCAAACGAUAGGCUACCCGGCCUACCCUCGCGAUCACUCGGAAUGGACCAAUAUAUCGGGGCCCCAACUUGCCCCUCUUCCUGAAUCGAAUCACUCCUUUCCAAGGAGAGACCUUCAGGAGUACAAAGUCACCGACCAAAAAUUCGAGCUCGGACCGGCGCCUGUCCGCAUAACUCUUCUGGCGACUCUGAGCGGUCAACAACCUCUGCCUGACCUGUUGUAUCUGCUCUGACGUCUGAAGCACGAUCUCUGUACUUCCCAUCACACGUUGCUCUACCUCUCCCCCGCAAAUGGGGUCCAAUACCCCCUUCCCUACAACAGCUCAAAGGGUGGCAUACUGAUGCACUAAUGAUGGCUGUUGUUGUAGGAAAACUCUGCCAAGGGCAAAUACGGGCCACAAUUUCCCCCCGAAAUCUAAUACACAUGCCCGAAACAUAUCCUCGAGCGUCUGAAUCGUUCGCUCACUUUGAAGUGUCCACAGACAUCACCAGGGUAAACUCUAGCUCAUUUCUCAUAUUCAUCUUCGAUACCGAGCACCAGGUCAGCUUUUGGCCCCACAGCUGAACCCCCAAAGGUCACACAUAACAUGAUCCAAAACAUCUCACUAACUUCCUCCCCGUGACCACUAUCACGGCCCAGUGACACGCAAGUCACGAAAUUCCCUUUUCCUCAUAAAAAAAUACAAUCCAAUCGAAGAUCGACUCAGCUCUAACCUCUGGCGUCUGCUGCGCAUAUUUUCCCGCGCGCCUCGCUGACCCUCCCGACAGAGACGGAGACCCCAGUCUCGCCCCGGUUUAACCACUAGGCUCCAAAAACUCAACACUAGGGCUACUCAAGCCUAAAACUCUUCUGCAUCAUGCACUUAUCGGAGAACACUCCAUCAUCACACUCUCUUGCCGUCUAGUGGGUACUAUGGCUUCCCGCAACAUUACGACAGCCUCUGACUAGUGAGUACUACGGCUCCCCGUAGUAUCACAACGCCAACUAACUAGUGAGUACUACGGCUCCCCGUAGUACCACGACUCCCUCCCUCUGACUUGUGAGUACUACGGCUCCCCGUAGCAUCACAACACCCUCUGACUGGUAAAUACUACGGCUCCCCGUAGCAUCACGACUCUCUCUCUCUCUGACUUGUGAGUACUACGGCUCCCCGUAGCAUCACAACACCCUCUGACUGGUGAAUACUACGGCUCCCCGUAGCUUCACCCUAUACUCUCAUUCUCAUUACAACGCCACACUAUGUUCACUAACUCAUGCACCGAAGUCUAUCAUAGAUAGUUACACACACACUUGCCCCGAUAUGCAUUACAGACUCUGGCGACAACCGUGUGACAACCUGAAUUUCCAUUCUAAACAAACCAUUUCAAUCCAAUAGAAGUAGAGCAGUUGCAGUGAAAAUUCAGACUUCGAGUAUAAGUUUGGCAGUUUUCAGGGCUUUAUACCUAAGGAGAUAUUAGGAGAGUGGAUGCACUAGGAUUUUGUGCAACACUGUAAUUCUAUUACUCUAGGUCAUUAGAAUCCAUUCCGAGAAUAGAAAUAUUUUCUACCAAAAAUAUCAGGACUAUAAAUAGAAUUCUGAACCAAAUUGGUUCAUUAGUUGAAUUCCAAUUAGAGAAAAGCCAAUUUCUCUCUCACGGAUCUUCGGGUUUUCAUCCCAGAUUGUGAGUCUACUUUCCUAGAUGUGUUUUAAUACUUGUUAUAUGCUUAAUAACAUUAUUUACAUGUCCAAAAUACAAGAUCUGGGAGCUUACGCCCCAAGAACGUUCUUGGGGUGUAAACUCCAAAACAAGGCCUAAAGGCCAUCUAGUCCCAUUUCCUUGUUAGGUAACUAGCUUAGGAUGAUAUGUAUGAACAUAUGAGACUAGAAAUCAAUCAAAACCAUAUAGUUUUAGGAGUUUACGGCCAAGGAUAUGCUCUUGGGCCGUAAACCCCUUUUUCAAGGGCUAAGAGUGCCCUAAUCACCCCCAAAGGCUUGGACUCUAUUUUAGAAAAAUACCCUAAUGUGUUUAGAACCUAGAAAACAUAAGAAAAGCACANGUGGAAGAGUUUACGGCCAAGAGUAUUUCUUGGGCCGUAAAAUCCUUUAAAGGGGUCAAAGGACACCCUAAAUCUUUCCUUAAGCCAAGAGACUAUUAGGGCAAGUACCUAGAUGAGUUUUGGACCGGUUAAAAUACUAAGAACCCCAAUAGUGAGGGAGUUUACGGACCAAAAGGUUCCAUGGCCGUAAACUCCAUAACAUGGUACAAANNNNNNNNNNNNNNNNNNNNNNNNNNNNNNNNNNNNNNNNNNNNNNNNNNNNNNNNNNNNNNNNNNNNNNNNNNNNNNNNNNNNNNNNNNNNNNNNNNNNNNNNNNNNNNNNNNNNNNNNNNNNNNNNNNNNNNNNNNNNNNNNNNNNNNNNNNNNNNNNNNNNNNNNNNNNNNNNNNNNNNNNNNNNNNNNNNNNNNNNNNNNNNNNNNNNNNNNNNNNNNNNNNNNNNNNNNNNNNNNNNNNNNNNNNNNNNNNNNNNNNNNNNNNNNNNNNNNNNNNNNNNNNNNNNNNNNNNNNNNNNNNNNNNNNNNNNNNNNNNNNNNNNNNNNNNNNNNNNNNNNNNNNNNNNNNNNNNNNNNNNNNNNNNNNNNNNNNNNNNNNNNNNNNNNNNNNNNNNNNNNNNNNNNNNNNNNNNNNNNNNNNNNNNNNNNNNNNNNNNNNNNNNNNNNNNNNNNNNNNNNNNNNNNNNNNNNNNNNNNNNNNNNNNNNNNNNNNNNNNNNNNNNNNNNNNNNNNNNNNNNNNNNNNNNNNNNNNNNNNNNNNNNNNNNNNNNNNNNNNNNNNNNNNNNNNNNNNNNNNNNNNNNNNNNNNNNNNNNNNNNNNNNNNNNNNNNNNNNNNNNNNNNNNNNNNNNNNNNNNNNNNNNNNNNNNNNNNNNNNNNNNNNNNNNNNNNNNNNNNNNNNNNNNNNNNNNNNNNNNNNNNNNNNNNNNNNNNNNNNNNNNNNNNNNNNNNNNNNNNNNNNNNNNNNNNNNNNNNNNNNNNNNNNNNNNNNNNNNNNNNNNNNNNNNNNNNNNNNNNNNNNNNNNNNNNNNNNNNNNNNNNNNNNNNNNNNNNNNNNNNNNNNNNNNNNNNNNNNNNNNNNNNNNNNNNNNNNNNNNNNNNNNNNNNNNNNNNNNNNNNNNNNNNNNNNNNNNNNNNNNNNNNNNNNNNNNNNNNNNNNNNNNNNNNNNNNNNNNNNNNNNNNNNNNNNNNNNNNNNNNNNNNNNNNNNNNNNNNNNGAUGAGUGAAAUGUUUGUGUGUGUGUUUGGGAUUCGGCCGCGAGGGAGAGAAGGAAAAGAAGAGAGAAGCAUGAAAGGAUGGUUCAUGGAAGUAUGAGUCUCCUUGCAUGGAAGUCCUUUGGUUAAUUGUGAGGUGUCACUCACAAGGUCAACCCUUCCUCUUGGGCUUGUUUUGGGCCGAAAAUAUGGAAGGAAAAAGAGGGUAUUGGGCUUUAAUGCCCACAANGGAAAAAGAGGGUAUUGGGCUUUAAUGCCCACAAGCCCAUGUGUAAGUUAAGUUGGGUGAGUUUUAAUCUAAAAAAAAUAUAAUAUGAUUUUUACAUUUUGUUGGAUUAGUUUAGGUUAUUCAUGGAUCAAAGCUUUUAAUUCAUUUCAUUCUAGGUCCAAAAUAACCCAAAAUGUUAAAAUAAAUGAUUAUGGGUCCAAUUAGAGCCCAAUUAGGGUUCUAAGCCCAUGAUAGUCAAAUUGGAAGCUUAUUGGUCCAUUUGGGUCCAAUAAGGAAGUCCUAGUCCAAAAUGGACCUAAACAAGAACUUCUAGGGUUUCCAAUUGUUUAAUGACUAUUUGUAGUAUUUGUAUGAUGUAUUUGAUUGAAGUUUUUGAUGUCAUAAUAAUAAAUAUCACACAUGCUCUUAAGUUCUUGAUUCAACAUUUACUUGAAUAUAGUGAUUACAAGACACAAAAUUCCUAGUUGUGACAGCAUCGAGGUUACUCAAGCAACCAUGAUCACCGCCUCUCCAUAGCAUUCUGUCUUCUUCCGACCGGAGGUUGGUUGCUUCUUCCUCAUACACUCCUCCAAACCGCUGUCUCACCCCCAUUACUAUCACCAAUCUCAUCACGACCCACCUUCCCCCACCGUAUGUUCUAAUAACUCCAAUUUACGUUUUAAUAUUUCAUUUCCUCACGAACUCAAGUUCAGAUGUGUGUUUUCUUUGUUACAGGUGGUAAUUGCAUCAGGUUCGACUAAUAAUUCUCCCAAACAUAGCGACGUUAAUCCAGCAGAUGAUCUACCACAUCGCAGGUUUCUAAGAACCCUAAGUUUUCCAGUAAUCUCAUCACGACACACCUUCCCCCACCCCAUAACCAAAUAUAAGUCCUAAUUUUUUGCGGAAAUCAUGACCAAUCUGAGCCCUGAUUUUAGACUUCACUGAUUUGUAUUCCUUUUUCAUCUGCAUUUUUUACCUAUUGCCCUCUUUCCGUUACAGGACUUCGAACGGGAUUUGGAGCGAUGGAUAGGGCUUCAUCACCUUUGGUGGCGAUGGAACACCUCAACCAGGUAUAUAAACCUUAAAUUUUUGACUUUUUCUUCCGCAAUUUGGACUUACCUCGAUUGUUUGACUUACAAAGCCGAUUUCUCUGGAAGAGGUGAACUAUCAGCCAGAGAGAUUCAUCUUGCAAAGUUCUUGAGAACCCUUCAGAAGUUGGCAGAUGAGGAAACAAUACUUUAUAUAGCAAUUAUAAAUGAUAUGUUUGGAUGCUAAACUAUUUGUUAUAAAUGUUGUUUAUUAGUUUCGUGUAGCUGUCGUGAUCACUAAUCAAGUUGUGGCCCAAGUAGAUGGUUCAACCAUAUUUGCAGAGCCUCAAAUUAAACUAAUUGGUGGUAACAUCAUGGCUCAUGCUUCUACAACAAGGUAUGUGAUUGGUGUUUUUUUUUUUCCUUUUUUUCUGAUUAAUGGAAAUUAAGAAAAAAAAUUAUGACAUGUGAGAGGUUGGCUUUGAGGAAAGGAAAGGGGGAAGAAUGGAUUUGUAAAGUGAUUACUUCCCUGUGUUUAGCUGAAGCUGAAGCUAGGUUUCAGAUUUCUACUGAUGGUUUUAAUGAUGUCAAAGUUUGAAUUUGGCCAAGCUUUGUUUUUGUUUUUCUGUUUUGAAUUUGUAUCUUUGUGUCAUAAACACAUGACCACGAUAUGAAAUACAAAUACUCAACUACAAAAUUUCUCAUUCCAUCAACUUCUUACAUGCUUUACAAUUUGCAUGGUAUGGAUUUUUAAAGAUAGAAUUGGGAUAUUGCAUUGAAGAGUGUCAAGACACUACCAUGAACAAGGUGUUUCAAACUUCAGUUUUUUAUUAUGUUAUCUAAAACUAUUUGAUAAAACUACUUGAUUGGUAUUUCAUGAAUGAGCUAUGGAGAAAAGUGAGAAAGAACUAGAAAUAGAGGAAGGGAAAGGCAAAAUGAAAAAGAAAAAAAUGUUGCAUCUGUCAGGUGAUGCUUCUUGAAAAUCUUCUAUUUACAUCAUUUAGCUUUUAUACUUUGUAAAAUCUACCUAAUUUGAAUAUCUUUCAAUGUAUAACGAUGUAAUAGGAAAAAAAUGAGAGUAUAAUGUUAUAAUAAACAAAUGAAUGAAAGUAUGUUGCUAUUUCUAUCAGGAGGAGUUUAUAGCAAGAGAUGAAAUAGGAAGAAUGGGAUGCAAUCAUGGUUACCAUGCUGUGUGUUUAAACCAAUGACUGCAGUUAAAGAACUAGUGCCCUGUUUGCAAGGCCUCUACUAAACCAUGAUACUCUUUGGUAAAUAUGUUAAUUUCUUUGUAUAAAAUCGUCUUUUCAUGUCUAUUGUACAUACAUAUUUGGAUUCAAAAGGGUAAUAAAGUAAUAAACUUAGGUUUCUUAACUUUGUGAACUUUAAAAACAUUCUGCAACUUAUGGCUUUCUCUUUGUAGGUUUUCUCCCUUUUUAUCUCUUUCAAUUGAUGCAUAAAGCAAUUAAUUAGUUAAUUGCAACAUUUUAUUUAAUAAGAAGAAAUGAAAGUAAAAUAUAACACCCCGUUUAUUAAAUGAAUAAAUAGAUAAAUUUGAGGAAUGGAUAGUAGCCCUAAAAUCAAUAAUUUUAUAAUAAGAGUUGGUCUCGAGAAGUUAAUUGUUACAAUAUUAGAAGUCGGGGGCUAAACAUGUAAGUUUUGGAUUGGUUCUGUAAAUAACUAUAAGGGCUAGGACUACUUGGUAAUCUUUUGGGACUUAAUGUGAAGAGAUUUUGGAGGCUUAGGGCCUAAAUGGUAACAUAUACAGUUUAACUGUAAAUAUUUUAGAUGGCAUGGGUUAAAAAGGUAAAAUAUUGAUCUAAUUCGAAUUAAAUUAGAGCUGGAGGGACCAGAGUUGUAAUUUUGCAAAAGAUUUAAAGUGGUCAGGGAUAUAACCCGCCACCCUCACCAUGUCAAACCCUAAACCUAAAGGUUCUAGCCGCCAUGAAUGAAGUAGCCGCCAUCUCCCUCUCCUCGUUCUUUUCCGAUCUGACAAAGUCGCUAUCCACUACCGGCGAUGCUGUGAGCGACAAGGACCACCGAGACCAGGUUUCUGCGCUGUGAACGGCGAAGGGUGAGAUGUGAAGUCGACAUCUAGUUGCGAGCAGUGGAGGUCCGAGAUAGCCUAGUCGUUGCUGGUGUUUGGAUGUCGGACAACCACCUCCCUACUGUAUUCUUCCUCUCCUUCUCUGCUUCUGCCCGGAGCUGCGAUGCUGUGGGAUCCCGAUGAAUAUUUCGUCGUUUUCUGCUCGUCUGCUUCACACCAUCGCAGGAGUGGCCGGGGCUGGUGCGUAUUCGAAGAUUGAUGUACGAGUUUUAGUGGUAUGGGCGUGUGUUUCUUGGCUGAGAAUCAACAGAACCGCUGCCACCACCGUGAGGUAGUGGUUGUCAUUGCAAGAGUUGUUGUUGCUGCCGCCAUACACCGCCAGGUGGGUGGUUGGCUUCUCUUUCCGAGCAAAAUAUGUGAAGAUGGGUGUGUUGCAGUUGGUGAGUGUAUGUGUGUAUGGCUGGAAUUCCCGAAAAAGGCAUCACCACCACCAUAGGGUGGUGGCUGCCGCCACAUGCCACCGCCGACCACCGCAAGGGUGGUUGUGUGUGUGUGUUUAUUUAGUGUAGUGUGUGUUUAUUUUUUUAUCUUCAUUGUAAAUUAUAAAAAAUCGAAUAAUUGAAAGAAAUUGAAAACUACCACCUUAGGGUGGUGGCUGCCGCCACCGACCGCCGUGUCGGGUGGCGGUGUGCUUGCCUCGUUGAAUUUGAUUCGUUUGGGGUGCUUGAAACCCUAAUGGGCCUUGUAAGCCCUAAUGGACCCUAUUUGACCCAAAUAAAACCCUAAUGGGCUUAAUGAUAUUCUAGUGGGCCUAAGAGGCCCAACAAAGCCCUAAUUGACCAAAAAGCCUGACAAAUUGAUAAAUGGGCUUGUAUUUGGGUUGGAAAACCCUAAUGCCAAUAAAACCCUAAUUCCAAUAAAACCCUAAUUUGGGGAAUUAACCGGGACACGCGGGAAUUGUUUAAUAACUUGAGAUAUUAAAUAAUAAUCAUUGGCAAAGAUUCAUCUAAGCGGUAUUGGACUUAAUGGAUUAAAUCCUUACAGGAUUAAGUCCUUAUUGGGUUAAGUAGGAAACUUAGCCCUAAUCAUCAUUCUAUGUGAAACCCUAAUGGGCUUAAGGAUUAGUUUUGGGCCUAUUGGGCCAUGUUUGGGUGAAAAACCCUAAUUGUGAGUAAUUGGGCCUUAGACUUAUUGGACCCACUAUUGGGCCGUUGAGAUUUGAUUGUGUAUUAAGCCCAAUUUCUCCAUAUCAUUUAUCUAGUAGAGUAAAGGACUUAAUGGAUUAAGUCCUUAAUAGGUUAAGUAAGAAACACUUAACCCUAAUCGUCAUUUUAUGUGAAACCCUAGUUUCACUUGGGCCUUGAGUUGGGCCUUUCGAUUGGGCUUUGGUAAUUGGUUUAUUAAUGGGUCAUCCAAGAAUAAUCAAAUGGACUAGAGUAAUUAGUUGGGCUUUAGGGUAAGGCCCAUAUGAAGGAUUAGGCCUAAUUUGGAAAAUUGGGCCAUAGUUUGGGCCUAGAUGGUUGUAUGAUAUUGGACCCUUAGAAUGAGACAUGUUGGACUAGACUGAACAAUAGGGCCUUAAGGGAAGUCCAUGUAGAGGCGUGGGCUCAAUUUUGGAAAAUUGGGCCAUAGUUGGGCCUUGGUCCAUUAUUAGACUUUUGGGCCUUUGGAUUGGGCCUUGGGCUUGAGUCAAGCUAAGUUACGGGGUAAAGUAGUCUUUUACCCCAAGCAUGGAUUUAUGAAUAUGUUUUAGAACCCCAUUAUUAAUUAGGUGUUAUUUUGAUAUUGACAGAUCGGGAAUCUAUCAUCGAGCAGCUAUGGUUCUGUCAGCGGGACUUCAGCAGUGUGAGGUGAGUUUCCUUCCAGUAGGAACGGGUAUACGGCCACAAUUUCGGCCCAUUUAGAUAGUAGUAGUUCCGGACCGCGGUCCGAUGCUGGGGUGGUCCCGAAAAGUAGUUCAGUAUGCUUAAUGUCUUUGUGAUUCAGGCAUGUCUACGUGGUAUGUGUUCCGGACUGCGGUCCGAUGCAGUAUGCAGUAUAUGUGUUAUUAUAUGUUAUGAUUAUGUUAUGCUAUGUUCAGUCAGUUCCAGACUUCGCUCCGAUGUAGAGGGAAAGGCCCUAGUUAGUUCCGGACUUUGAUCCGAUGCAGUGGGCAAGGCCCUAGUUAGUUCCAGACUUCGGUCUGAUGCAGUGGGCAAGGCCCUAGUCAGUUCCAGACUUCAGUCUGAUGCAGAGGGCAAGGCCCUAGUUAGUUCCGGACUUCGGUCCGAUGCAGUGGGCAAGGCCCAAUAUGUGCUUUAUAUGUUAUUGUAUGGUAUGUGGUAGUUUAGGGGAGCUCACUAAGCUUUGUGCUUACAAUUUUCAGUUUUGGUUUCAGGUACUCAGUUUUCAAAAGAGGAGCUCGAGAAGAUUGCAGUGCACACACCAUUUGUUCAGCCUAGGAUGUUUAUACUCUGAUAUAAUUGACAGUUGUUAUGUAACGCCCCGUUCCUAAGAGUACCUAAUUGUGAGUCCCUGGGAUUUAAGAGGAAAGGUAUUUUGGUCAUCUUGUGGGAAAAGUGGAAAAAGAGGGCUAAAUAUGAAAUUUAGGGGACACGCUGAGUACGCCCAGCGUAAGGGCGUAAGUGGACGCGGGUGCAAGGUUGAGUACGCCCAGCGUACUAGAGGUACGCCCAGCAUACUCUCAGAGUUCUAAAACCCUAAAAUUAGGGUCAGCCACUAUAUAAGGAACAUGUUGGUUCAUACCCUAGCCUCCAUAAGCUCUCUCUUAACCUCAGAAACCCUAGAUAGCCGUUCCACCUCCAUUGUUGGGUGUGUUUGGCCUUGGAAAGCUUAUUUUGGCAAAGGAGAGGCUAGAAGAAGAAAGAGGAAGUUGUCAAAGAAGGAGUUGAGUGGCUGGAGCUUAUAGAUCUGGAAAGAUAUCAUCCUUUGGAGCCUAUCUGAGGUAUAAAGCUUCUUGCUUGUCAUUUAUAUUGCAUAGAUCUAAGUGUUGUGAAGUUUUGACAUCAUUCUUGUCCCAAAAGUCCUCAUCUUGAUGCAUGUUUUGAGUUGGUCGAGAUUAUCUGUCCUUUCAGACCUUUGGAGAGGUCUUGAGUGAGAAAAAUGAGGUCCCAAGGGCUGUGGUUGUUCCAUGUGUGAGAUAAGUAGGUCUUAAUGGAUUAAGACCUUGGAUUAAGAGCUUUAUGGACGUCCCAAGUGAUAAAGUUUGAGACUUUAUGAAUCUUAGGCAUAUUUGGCCUAAGGAUCUGAAGUUUGGGCUUAAGAGCUUAAGCCAUUAAGAAGUUAUGAGGACUUAAUGUGCAGCGAAGUUACGCCCCGCGUAGCGGGUCAGCGCCCCGAUCCCCAGUUGCAAAUCAGCGUGUACGCCCAGCGUACCAGGGAGGGUACGCCCAACGUACUCCCUCUGUUGGGUUUUUCAUUUUGGGCCUUAGGGAUUGGGCUAUUAUUGGGCUGCUGGAUUUUGGGCCGUGACUGGACAUUAUGGAUAGAGUAUUGUGGACCCAUUAGUUGUUAUGGACCAUGGGUCUAGGCCCAUUUGGUGAGGUGGGCCCAAUUUAGUAAAUUGGGCCAAUAGUGGGCUUUGCUUCGGACUUUUGGACUUUGGGCCAUUAGUGGGCUUGAGAGCUUAUCCAGUGUUGGGCCGGAAUGAGUUAAGGGUAAAUUGGUCAAUUUAUCCUUGGAAGGGUAUUGUGCUUAGCCUAAUGAUUAUUUGUGCUAUGUUGGCUAGUUCGGGAUUUUCGGUGAGUCGGUGAUUCGAGAAUCUGCUUCUUCAGUUCAGAGUUUCGGCAGUGGCAAGGUGAGUUAUCCUCACUAUAUCAACAGGGUCUAAGGCACCAAGGCCGGCCCUUUAUCGGAUUGAGAUCCGGGUAUUUGUUGUUAUGUUAUUGCUUUGAUAUGGUUGCAUCCUGGUAGCUAGGAUGGUAUAUGUUAGAGACCUGGUUAAGGUCGGUAUCCUGUUAUGUAGGAUGAUGCUAUGCUAGUGACCGGUUAGGUCGGUAUCCUGGUUAGGAUGAUGAUAUGUUAUGUGAUCUGCUAGAUCGGCUUGUUGAUUGUGAAUUGUUAUAUGAUUGUAUGUUUAUGUGCACAUGGUUGUUGGACUGGGGUUGGGUUGAGGCGGGUCCUGCUUUGUGCUGUAGGCCAAGAUACCCAGGGCGGACCGGUUGUCCCGAAGGCCCANNNNNNNNNNNNNNNNNNNNNNNNNNNNNNNNNNNNNNNNNNNNNNNNNNNNNNNNNNNNNNNNNNNNNNNNNNNNNNNNNNNNNNNNNNNNNNNNNUGCAUGGCUGUUCUGUGAUCGGAUAUGAUAUGGCAUGUUAUGCGUGUAUGGUAUAUGUGGUUGGUAUUUUGGGGAUAUCUCACUAAGCUUUCGGGCUUACAGUUGUGGUUUAAUGUUUUUCAGGUUCUUCAGGAGACCGUGGCAAGGCGAAGGCGUGAUCGUACCGCUCCUCAUGUUUAUGUAGUGAUGUGAUUCUGGGAAUACUCUAAAUUAAUUAUAUUGAAAACCUUUUUGUAAUAAUUUAAUGAAAUCGGGUUGUUUUUGAAAAGUUUAAAUUGGUUGGAAUUUUUCGGUCGUUACAUGUUAUAAUAUUUUGAGAUACAUUGCUUAUGAUUUUUAUAUGAGGUUUAUCGACUAUGGUUUUUGUUAUUAAAUUAAACGAAAUUUUCAGACCGUGUUUUUGGGAUGUUUCAUAAAAUGCUAUAAUAAAGUAAUAAACAAGUAAAUGAAAGUAGGUUGAUGUUUCAUGUAUUUAACCCUUUUAUUUAUGAACACUUAUGGUUACUUACCAUGAUUAAAUCUACAACACCUUAUUAUCAUACUUAUAUUUUCACAAAUUACAAUGUCCUAUUUAAAAUACCUAUACAUAUUCUUUGAUGCAUACGCAACAAUCAACACAGAAACAAAAAUAAGCAAUGGUUUUCCUACAUUAGUUAUUGAAUUGAUCCGCAUUGACCUUGAACUUGACAUGGGUUAUGGUGGGUGCACCGGUUCUUGAGCCACCACGUUGGGUUGUUCAUUGGGUGCACCGGUUGUGAGCUGUUGUCUUUGUUUUAUUUGUUCGGUUUGGAUUGGUCUCGUGAUGUUUGAGAUCUCAAUGGUUUUUGCCUAUAAAAAUGACGAAUAUUUGUUUAAAGAAUGAUAUAAUUUUUAUCGAUUUUUUUGACAAACUAUAAUGAAAAGGAAAAGGAAAUGACUUCCCAACUUCUUGAAAACACCGGCGGAAAUGUUAUAGAUGUCAGGUGAUUUAAAAUUCAGAAGUUAUUUAUGGUUUAUUUAGCUAUUGGGUUUUCUUUUGGUGAAAUUGUCUAUCUAUCGAUGGAUGAAGACUAGGAUUCUAGGUGAACAAUACAACUUGAGGCCAGCUCAUGCUUCAGCCACAUGGGAGAAGCACAACGGUGAUUUUAAUUUUUGUUCAUUUUUCAUCGAUGCAAUAUUUUGUUGUAUUUCGACCCUUUUUUUUUGUAUAUUUAGAGUCGAUUAUGCUAUUUCCUCUAUUGGAAUUGAUAUUUAGGCCAGCUCAUGCUUCAGGUUUAUGUUCAAGAAGUCAAAGUGAAAUAAACUCACAUUUAAAGGUAAAAGAUAUAUAAAUUUAUUUUUAGCUUUCUUAUAUUACAGUUAUGACAGCAUUUAUGAUCACAUGUAGGCAAAACAUUUACAAUCUUCACCAGGUGGUGUUUUAAUCAUGUUGUUGCUAUGGAAGAAUUCCGUUGGAUUGCCUUUCGGUAGAGGCUAUAUGUAGUGGACAUUUUCCAGCUAUUGUGGUUUGAUUUUCUUAAAUGUUUGUUUUCUAAGUGUUUGAUGAAAAAGCCUCGGUGAAACAUAUUCUUCACUAAAUCUUGCAAACCAAGUUUUGUAGUUAUUGAUUGUGGAAGUAAUAUAUUUUUUUAUUUGGAGAAAUUGAGUAAAUGAUUCAGUUAUAUGUUUUGUCGUCACGUUGCAUCUCCACCGUCUUUUUUUUUCCAACGUUCCACCUUCGGUUCUCGGGUUCUCAUUAAACUAUGAAUUCUUAAAUGAUCAUAUAUAUAUAUAUAUAUAUAUANNNNNNNNNUAAUAAUAAAGAAAAUAAUAAUAUAGAUAUUAAGUGAUUAAGAAUAGAACUAAUAAUAUAAUAAUAAAGAUAUUAAAUAUUUAAAAAUUAAAAAAAAAAAUGAUUGAUUAGACUUUUUAAAAAAACGAAAUAAUAAAAAUCCCUUUUAAAAAUUCCUUUUAGGCUUACAUAUUCAUAUACAUUUUAGGCUUACAUAUUCAUAUACAAUUAACAAAAAAAACAAGGUAUUGGAUUUUAAAUUGUUUCCAAAACAUAACGUGGCAGGAAAAUGUUGUUGCCGACUAUGAAGAUUCAUGGUGGACCCCUAGUGAUGCAUCAAAGUCCAUUAAAAGCUGCUUAUCAAAUAUCAACCGUCCAUAGAGAAGACCUAAAUUUGAAUGAUCUUCCACAAUUCCAAUCAACGGUCCAGAUCAAGACACGUUGUGAAUGCCCUACGGUCGUCAUAGUCUCAUAAAGUACGUGAACCCACCUUCCUUCCUAUGGUCUUAGGUUUAUGUUUUCCCAUUGACACGAAAGCCACAUACCCAAAUAUUUUCUAUAUAAAACAACGAUUAAUUCAAACAAUAAUAUUAUAUUUUAAUACAUUUUUAAAAGAGACGUCAAUUUUAAAAACCAACAUAUCAACUUACUAAAAAUGCAAAAUUAGAACAUAACUUCAUGGUUAGCAUCUAACUGGAAAAAUAACUAUUUUCUGUGCUGUUUUUUUAAAACGAACCAAUAUAUUAAUUAUUGCUUGAAAUUAACUCAAUAAAAUAAUAAUGUUUUAUUUAAAAUAUAAAUCAACCAAUAUAUAUGUCAAUACUUAUUUUCUAUUAAAAAAAUAGAAUAAGAUCACCACGAGUCCACGACAUACAUUUUUGUUUAUUUGAGACCAAAGUUCAACAAAACCAUAUAUACAACUUCAAAAUAUUAAUUGGGAUUUGGGUUUAAGUGCCGUUUUUAAAAAAUGGAUUUAAUUUUAAAGAUUUUUAAUUCAUUAUAAAAUAUAAAUAUAAAUAUAAGGUCCUUUUCGGAAAAAAAAAAUGAUUUACAAAAAAAAAACACAAUUAUAGGAAAAACACGAUUAUAAUAUUAAUAAUUAAUCAAAAAAGAAAAAAAGUAAAUACUUGACGGCAAGUAACGGCGUUACAUAUUUUUCAAAUAUUUUUAUUUUUAUCGAGCCUCAGCCUCGGGUACUCUGUUCUCGAAGUUCGUACACGUAUAUAAUCCCUCACGCAUCCACCUGUUACCAAUUUGGGCAAAAUCAUCUCCAUAGCUAUAUUCACUGUGUGUAGUUACUGUGUGUAACAUUUGUUGCUGCUGAAAAAUCAAUCGAUUCAACAGUUAGGGUUCUGAAUUAGAGGUUUUGAGCGAUAUGGCGGAGUACGGAGACGAAAUCGAGCAGAAAGGUGAGUCGUUUAUGGAUAAGAUAACAGAGAAGAUUCAGCGAGACGAUUCUUCGUCGUCGGAUUCUGAUUCGGAGAAGAAGAAGAAGAAGCACGAUGAUGAGUUGAAGAAGAAGCAUCAUGAUGUUCCGUCGCCGACUUCUUCGAUGAAGUCGAAGAUCUACCGAUUGUUUGGUAGGGAGAAACCGGUUCACAAGGUUUUCGGUGGUGGAAAACGUAAGUAGAAAUAGUUAGUUAGUAACUAUUUAAGUUUUUGCUUUCAUAAGUUGGCUUGAUUUCAUGAUUUUCUGUCAAUUGUUGCUAUGUUAAGAGGAAAUUAUCCGUUUCUACUCCUGUUUUGAUAGACUAACUUUAAUUUCAAACACAAAACUUAGUUACUGCUUACUCUAUUCUCAUAAUUUCUUGUUUUGUGAUGAUUUUAUGCAGCUGCUGAUGUGUUCUUAUGGAGGAACAAGAAAAUUUCAGCCAGUGUACUUGGUGGAGCAACUGCGGUGUGGGUGUUCUUUGAAUUGCUGGAGUACCAUCUGCUUACUUUGGUUUGCCAUUUUUUGAUCCUUGCAUUUGCAGUUCUUUUCCUGUGGUCCAAUGCUUCUAAGUUCAUCAACAAGUAAGCUUUUUAUUGAUUAGAUUAUCAUGUUUUGAGGGUCAUUUACUGACUGAUUAAGCUACAGAUCUCCUCCACGCAUCCCUGAAGUUCGAAUUCCUGAAGACAAGUUUCUUCAGAUUGCUGCUGGAUUAAGGAAUGAACUGAAUCAGGGUCUUGACACGCUUAGGAACAUUGCAUCUGGAAGGGAUUUAAAGAAGUUUCUUGGUGUAUGUUGUUUGAUUUCAUCUUCAUGCCUUUAGUUUUACUCCCUCUUCCCUCUUUCUAUGCUAACUUGAUUGUUAAUUUCAUACUGUUGGGACAGGUUGUUGCUGGACUCUGGGUUCUCUCCAUUGUUGGGAGUUGGUGCAAUUUCUUGACAUUGUUCUAUAUAAGUAAUGCUCAUAUCUCUUCUUUGAUUCUCAUAACCAUGUCAAUUACAUCAUAUUUCCAACCAAAUCUUCAUCUAAAUGAACAAAUUGAAUUCAAGAUUGAAGCAGAUUAAUUAGCCAAUGACUUGCAAACAUGUCUUUAUAUGCGGGUGUUUCUUUUUGACUGAAGUUCCAACUUUUUACAAAAAAUUUGUUUUUUCGGAUGCUACAAUAAACAAAUGAAUGGAAUUACUCAAGUACAUUGCUAUAUUUUAUUGAGUAUAUUUUAAAAAAUCAUUUGAAUUUAUUGUUUUGGGAAACAGUAUUUGUGCUUCUACAUACGAUUCCUGUUGUAUACGAGAAGUACGAGGAUCAAGUGGAUGCGUUUGCAGAAAAAGCAAUGAUUGAGAUUAAGAAACAAUACAAAGUGUUUGAUGCAAAGGUUGUGAGUAGAAUCCCAAGAGGACCAUUGAAAGACAAGAAAAGAGCUUGAGAUUUAGGGUUCUUUGUUGUUGUUUGUUGUUGUAUGUGAUUUGCACUUUCAUUUUGGUUAGUGUGUUUGUUGUGAUGGUUUAGUAGUGAGAGUUUGUUUGUACAUCAUGUACUAAGUUAACUCAUGUUUGUGUUGAUCAAAAGAUUCUAAUGUGCAUGUGGGACCCAUUUUAACUUGUUAUUAGCUUUCAUAAAUUAUGUUGCUAUUCUUCAUUUAUUGUGAAUGUUGAUAUUUUUAGAGCAAUAUGCAUAAAAGUCAUCAUCUUUGUUUUAUUUUGGUUGAUGGAAGCCAUCUAUUUGUUAAAGUUUAAUGGCUUUUUUAUUAUCUAUAUGAUAUGAUAUCUGAUACAUAUGUGCAUCUUUCAUCUUGAAAUAACUUGUUAUUUGUUAGUUUAGCAUACUAUACACAUCAUAUUAGGUAUUGGUAAGUGAGAAACCAUUUUAUUUUAAAAAGUUAGGUGUUAUUUUAGGAAGCAUAUAUGGACUAUGGUGCCAUUACUAUGCUAUGUAAGUUAAUGAGAAGUUAUAUUAGCUUUAGGGUCAUAAUUGUCGUAGUAGAUUUAAAAAGAAAACAGAUGGUUUUAAUUGAUCGAAAUAAAUAUAGUGGCUAAACUUUCUAAAAAAGUUGACAUAAAUAUCUAAAUAAUUUAUCUCUCUUUAAAAGACAAUAAAUAUGAAAGCCAUUGUAUUUUACUUUCAUUUUACGGUUUAACCAUUAAUUAUGUUAUCCCGGUCAAUGCAAGCCAUCCAUUUUUGAAAGAAACAAUUCCACUAAGACCAUUAUUGACCUUAUAUUUUCUGUUUAACAGUGUUAAAACUAGCAUGAUUUUUCAUUAACCUAUAUGAUAUCAAGGAUUUUCUAAAAUAACUUCUGACUUUUUGAAAUGGCUUCCUAUUUACCUACAUGAUAUGUGGAUAACAAGUUAAACCAAAAAAUUUGAAGUCAUUUCAGAGUAAGGUGGUAUUUCAUAAAAUACAUAUAAUAUGGUAUAAAUAAAUAACAAAUCAUUGAAAAUAAAGGUUACAAUAAUCAUAAUAGAAAUUAUUUUCAUAUAAUUAUCAAAUCACAACUCAAAACAUGUCAAAGUGAUAGUAUUUUUUUAUGUAUAUUAAAUGGAUAUUAAAAAGAAGUGAUAAUGUCUCAAUAGAAAAAGAAACAUAAAUCCAUAAUUACCGGGACCCUCUUUUGGCCCAGUAGUCCGACCAAACGCUGGUAUGCCGUCACAGUUUCACUCACGCGGCUCACUUUUAGUUUCUUCUGUUUGGCAAUUUUGGCAUUUAAUCCAAAACCCACACCAUCUUCAAACUCAUUAACAUAUUCUAAUGUUUUUUUUUUUUAAAAAAAAAACUACUCAAACUAACAUUNNNNNNNNNNNNNNNNNNNNNNNNNNNNNNNNNNNNNNNNNNNNNNNNNNNNNNNNNNNNNNNNNNNNNNNNNNNNNNNNNNNNNNNNNNNNNNNNNNNNNNNNNNNNNNNNNNNNNNNNNNNNNNNNNNNNNNNNNNNNNAUAUGGAAAAAGAGAAUAUACAUUACAGUCUCACCUAAGCUUAGGUACUAAACCUCUUGAAAAUACAUAGUUUUACUAUAUAAAGAUUACGGUUAGUGGAUUCAUGAUUGAUAUUUGAAGAUGUAAAUUCAAGAUCGACACAAUAGGGUUUAGGUUUAGGUUUACGGUUUAGGGUUUUAAUAAGGAAGCAAGAAUAUUGAUUAUCUUUGCCCUUCGUGACAAUGGAAAAAGUAAUGUUCACUUGGGCGAAGUAAUAAACGAUAAUGGUGGAAAGAAAACAAAAAUGGUAGAACGAUAAUGAAAGAAAUAAAUGUUAUCGAGGAUGGUAUAUUUACCAAGUGAAACCAAACCGGGUAUAUUUACUAAGUUAAAACAACAUAUUUUAGAGGUUUAGUACCUAAACUUAGGUGGGGCUGUAAUGUAUAUNUAUAUAUAUAUAUAGAGAGAGAGAGAGAGAGAGAGAGAGAGAGAGAGAAAUCAAAUAAAAACCAAAAAAGAUUAAGAACCAUCAUUUUUAGCUUAUAAUUAAAAUGUAUAUUAGUCAUAUCUCACAUACAUGUUUACAAAUGUUUUAAAGGACAUUUUUGUCUCUCACUUGUUUAAAAAAAAAAGAAUGGCAUUAUUGUAAAUUACAUCAAAUUCUAGUCUAAAUUCAUAAACAAACAACUACCCAAUGGGUCUAAGAUCUAUUAACUUCAACUUCUUCCCUUUCAACAUUUAGAGCAAAAACCUUCAUUUAUAUCCUUCAACCACCAAUCUGAUGAACACCAUCACUCUCAUUGGUAGUUGCACCAUCGCCACCAACGAUGACGACGACUUCACCACCACCACCAGUGACGAUGUCUCCACUACCGAUAGUAUCUCCGAUAUGGUGUGUUUUUGUAACGCCCCAUUUCUGGUAUGUGAUUUAAAUAAAGUAAUUUUCAAUUCUAGAGGGGUACUUGACGAGUCUGUAGCCCAGCUCGUCGAGUAGAGACGGGUUAUGCACGUGUUUUAAGCUAGCUACUCGACGAGUCCAUAUUCUUGGACUCGGCGAGUCUGCCAGUCUGGAUGAAACCCUAAUUUCAAGGGUUUGUACCCUAUUUAAACAUCAUUGUGCGCCCCAAACCAGCCUACAUCACCCUAAGAAUGUCCCUUACUAAACCCUAGCCUUCCUUUAAGCAUUCUUAGAGUAUUUCUCAUUUUGUGGAGGAUUUUGGUGCAUUUUGAAGUUAGAAGAAGGAGAGAGAAGAGGGGUUCUCAAGAGAAGCAAAGAAGAUCUGAGUUUAUUGUGUCAUUCCAGCUUCCAUUAAGGCAUAAAGCUCGAAUCUUGGGUUGUCAUCAUGUAGAUCUCCUUAAAAGCUUGCUAGUGUGGUUUUUGAGCCUUUUCUAGACUUUGAGGUCGAUUUAUGGGUAGUUAAGACAAAUGGGUUUCAGAUCUAAGCAUUUCAGGACUCCUUAAGCUCAAGGUUGCCACCUUUAUUGGGCUAAGCACCCAUUCCAAACCUAAAUCUCCUCUUUUAGCUCCUUAUUGGGCAUUUUAGCUUAUUAUGAGCAUGCAUGAAUGUAAAUUUAGAAACUUUACGUGUGAAAUCAGUCCUAGGAACCCAGUGUCACAACUGGAAAUUUUGUGUCAUGUAAUCUAUACAUUCAAGUUAAAGUGAAUCAAAAACUUCAAUCAAAUACCUCAUACAAGUACUACAAAUAGUCAUCAAACAAUUGGAAACCCUAAAAGUUCUUGUUUAGGUACACCUUGGACUAGAACUUCCUUAUUGGAUCCAAGUGGACCAAUAAGCUUCCAAAUAGACUAUCAUGGGCUUAGAACCCUAAUUGGGCUCUAAUUGGACCCACACUUAUUUAUCUCAAAAUUUUGGGCCAUACUGGGCCUAGAAUGAAAUAAAUCACAAGCUUUGAUCCAUAAUUUAACCUAACCUAGCUUAAUAAAGCAUAAAAAUCACAAUUUUAUUUUAUAAGGCCAAUGAACACCCAAACUACCUCAAAUAUUGGGCUUAAGGGCAAAAAGCCCAAAAAUCUUUUUUUUCUCUUCCCAUUCUCGGCCCAAGGCCCAAACCCAAAGAGAAAUGGAAGUGUUGACUUUGGAUGCCACCUCACUAUUACCCAUAGGACUUCCAUGCAUUAUUUCUCAUUCUUCCAUGCAUAUCACUUCAAGAUCACAUCUCUUCUUCCUAUCUCUCUCACUCUCGGCCAUACACCCACACAAAAAUCUCUCAAAUUCUCUCUAGAUUACACAAGAACUCUCCUUCCUCCCCUCUCCAAAAAUCUCGAAAAUUAGGGACUUUCAAGAGGAUCUUGCAAGUUAAUCAUCAUCUAAGGUAAGAUUAUACUUGGAUCUAUGGUUUAGAUUCUUUUGUUAUCAAAAUCCUUUCCUAAUCUAUGCAAAAAUCGUGAUCUUGCACCCUAGAACCAUCUCAAACUCGAGAUCUACCAAGGAAAGGUGCUAAGGCCAAAAAUCAUCAAGUUUUCCUCCAUCUUUUCUUCCAAAAACCGAAACCACACCCAAGGUGAGCUUCAUACCCCCUAUUUUCUGUUUUUAUGAGUUUUGUGGGGGGGGGGAAAUACAAGUGAAAGUGUAGAUCUAUAUGUGUUUUGUAUGCCUUGUAUGAUUUCCAUGCUUAUAUGUAUGCAUUUGUGUGUUAUAAUGUUGGAUCUAGCCAUAAAACCCCUCAAAACCGAGAUAUAUCUUGUGUUAAAUGAUUUUAGCUUCAAAUAUAUUUCUAAAUACAAAGUGUUUCAAGAAAAAUGGUUAAGUGGUUUAGUAACAAUUUUCUUUGGGUUAAAAACACAAAUUUUGGGCCUAAAAUGUGAAAAAUACAAAAUUAAGGGCCCAAAUUGACAUAUCACGAAUUCUGAUGGAUGAAGUGUGUCAAAACAGUUUCAAUAAAACAAUUUCUGGAAAUAUACUCAUUUAGAGGAUUAAAAACAUAAAUUUCAAGCUUAAUGGGCUAAAAAUGACAUUUUCGGCCCAAUGAGGCCCAUUAUGCGAAUUUUUCUGUUUUGGAGGGCCAAAACUGUGAUUUUCUGUAAAACAGUGGACCAUAAGUGAUCCAAGUCCUUUUCAAAGGUUUAAAAUGCUUUUUAAAUUUAAAAAGGACCAAAGUUGCAAAAAUUUUACAAUUUGGGCCAAAAUUGUCAAAGUUGCGAAAAAGAAGGGUUAUAACCGAGAAAACUGAAAUUUCAGGGACUUAAACUGUUUUCAUUGAAAAAUAUGCUGAAAAAUAUUAAUUUCAAUAAUUUUUGGUGUUAAAAUGUCAAGAAAAUUGAUUUAAGGACCAAACCGGAAAGUAUUUAAUUAAAGGGUUGAAAAAGUAAAUUUUACAAACAAUGAGGGGCUGAAAACAGAAAACUUUCAAGGCUAAUUCAAUACAUGCAAUUUGAUCAAAUGAUGGCACCGCGACUAUCGACGAAAUACAAUACACUACAAUACCAAAAUCGUUGUGAAACGAAUUGGUUCGGUCUCGAACCAAUGAAAAUCCGAAACUACUAACAUGGCGACACUACGAUACAUACAAAUAACGUUUGGGAACUUAACUUACAUACGAGUGUGCACAGACGUCUACGCACCAUCUUUGGGCCCCAAAAGUGUAAAAUCUUGUUUGUUGGGCCUAGCUAGCCCAAUGACCUGAUCUUAAGGCCCGAAGACAUUUUUUUUCUACGAAGUGUUGGGUUUCACCGACUUGGCACAACGUAGAGGGACUUUCAAUGGCUUGUAUACUACUGGUCCCCAAGGGUCCUUUGGUAUAGCUAGUAAAGUCUACAUUUUAUGCGAGGCGGGUCGGGGACCCCUCGUACAUUUUAUCCCCAACCGGUUAAUGGAGUCACCGGGGUCUUCGUGACCUCUUUCUCUUCGGAUGUGGGACUACACAUAGUCAGGGUGAUUGGAUAACGUGAUUAGUACGGACGACGCCUUCGGGAUCGUUAGUAUAGCUAUAAACUGGGCGUUUGUGUAAUGCGGGUUUGUAGUAAUUAAUCAUGCUCAAAAAUAAUCCAACGUCGCCUGGGACUGACACUAUACGCUAUGCAAUGGUUUCAAUGUAACUUCAUGUAAUACAAGAAAUUAGGAAAACAUCGGGUUUUCCUAGGGUUUUUCAAUACAUACAGAUUCAAAAUGCAUACAAUCUUAACGAACAAAUUUUUUUUAAGUAUAGAAACAAACAAGCAUACCUAUGGAUCUUCACAACAUUUUCAAAAGCUUUUCUUUUCAGAAAAUAUCGGAUUUUCUGGUGGUUUUCAAACAAUACAAAACAUUGGAUUUCAAACACUACUUAUGAACUCACCAACAUUUCAUAUGUUGACGUUUUUCAAAAUACUUGUAUUCUCAGGGAACCAGUGAACCAAAGGAAAACAUAUUCAGUGACGGUUGCAGUUUAUUUAUGUAUGAACCGAACAAUUUAAUUUUUGGAAAUGUAAUGAUUUGAGACAAUGUAAUGAAUGUAAACACUAUCAGUUGUAAUAUGCAAAUGUUGGUGAUGAAUGAUGUUAUGUUUCAUGUAUAUUCAUUGUGAUGGUAUUCAAUUGAGUCACGACAGCCCCCGGACGUUUCCGCCGUCUGGUUCGGGGGUGUGACACCCAGAUCUAUGAUUUGGAUGCAUUGGAAUCGAGAAAAACGACUGUAUGGUAAUGGUAUGCUUGGGACUCGGCGAGUCGAGUCGUGAGUCCUCGGUUUUUUCCCCGAUUUGAGAGUUUUGGGUGAAUCAGUGAGUAGAGUAAGGACUCGGUGAGUUAAGACUUGGAUCUGGAAGCAGUUGGACUCGACGAGUUGUUCAUACGACUCGGCGAGUCAAAGACUGGGUGUGUUCUUCUGUUGAAACGAAACUCGACGAGUUGUUCAUACAACUCGGCGAGUCAUGAAGAUUANGAACCCGUCGAGUCUUUGCCAAACUCGACGAGUAGAAGCGAGUAGAGGAUUAGAAUGGAUGAUGGGGACUUGGCGAGUUGGCGGGCCAACUCGGCGAGUCUGGUCAACUGAAAGUUGACUUUGACCUGGAAGUUGACUUGUCCAGGGGUAAAUAGUCAUUUUACCCUGAGAUUAGUAUCGGUAUUUGAUUUAGUGUUUAUGGGACUUGUAGCCGGGGAGUUCCGGAGCAGCAGUCAGACAGUUUCAGAUCUAGCGUCUCAGCAGCCAGCGUUGCGAGGUGACUCUUCUUUCCAGUAGGAACAGGUCUACGGCCACAAUGCCGACCCAUCUAAUUAGUAGUAGUAUCGGACUUCGAUACGAUGCAGUAGUUCAGUGUCCUUGACGUCUUCGUGAUUCAAGCAUGUCCUUGUGUUAUGUGUUCCGGACUUCGGUCUGAUGCAGUAUGCAGUAUGUGUGUUCAUGUUAGUUGAUAUGUUUAUGCUAUGCUAUGUUCAGUAAGUUUCCGGACUUCGGUCCGAUGCAGGGUACGAGGUCCCAGUCAGUUCCGGACUUCGGUCCGAUGCAGUUAGUUCCGGACUUCGGUCAGAUGCAGGGGACGGGGUCCCAGUCAGUUUCCGGACUUCGGUCCGAUGCANGAUGCAGUGGGCAAGGCCCAAUAUGUGUUUAUAUGUUGUUGUAUGGUAUGUGGUAGUUUGGGGGAGCUCACUAAGCUUCGUGCUUACAGUUUCAUUUUUGGUUUCAGGUACUUCCGCUAGCAAAGGGAAGAGCUCGGGUUGAUGGUAUCGCACACACCACAGCUUCAGUUUUAUCCUGGGAGUUUUAUUCAGAUAUUUUGAUAUGAUUGAUACAGUUUUGUUUUGACACAGUUACUAUGACUUUUGAGUUACUCAUUCUGUGGUUCUUAUUAUAUAUGACAUUCGAUGUUGUGACUUUUUAGUAAUAUUAAAACAAAAAAAUGGGUCGUAUUUUCGGGAUGUUUCAGUUUUCUAAUAUUAUGAUCAGAAUAUCUUCCUCCUACCGUCGAUGCCACAUCAUCAGCACCCCCUUCAUGUCUGACAGACUGACAUCCAUCGCCACCGCUUCCACACACUCUUUUCUACAUAUCUAUGAGAUCUGGGUCCGGAUCUAUGAUUUUUUUACGCUAGAUCUACAUUUCCUCCUUCAGAUCCACAACUUUUUUAGCUAGAUCUCGUGAUGUGGAAGGAGUUUCGAUGAGAUCUCGAUACGUGGAAGGAUUUCCGAGGAAAUCUAAUGUCCAGACAAAGAGGUUCCAGUGGAAUCCAAGUCGACACCGACGCCACCAUCUAGAUAUGCGAUUUCCACUCCAGAGUUAUGAGAUCCACCACCAUUCAACCACUAUAGAACCACCAGUAGCACUUUCCUCCUCCAGAUCUGUAAAUUCUACCACUAAUCGCCACCAGAAACGACAACUAUAAUGUCACUGACGACUGGCGAGGCCAGAUACACGAGCACCAGCAACUGACGAGACCAGAUCUAUGAGAUCCUAUGAGUGGCAAAGCUAGAUCGAUGAGAUUUGGUGGUGUUGUUACAAUCGAUGUCCCAUAAUGUGUCACUCGUCAUCUUCUUCACACCAGGUAUAUUAUGAUGAGGCUCAUAUGAGUGUUUUCUUUAACCUUUGUACAAUUAUUUUCAUGUUUAUUUAUUGUGUUUUACAUCUUACUCCAUCGUUGGUACCUAUUAUGUGUUAAAGGCUUAGUAAAAAUCAGAAUCAAGAAUCAUUUCAUGAUGCACACAGUGUGAUUGAUGAUUUUCCUGAAUGUAAAUUUGAAAUUGUGAAUAAGUGUAUAAACUUAUGUAUUAACAUACGAAUAACCUAAAUCCUACUGUGAUUUUUUUGUAUUUAUGAAUAAUCUUAGUUGUAUAAAUAUUGUUAAUGGUUUUUUGAUGCACACAAAGUGUUUGAUCAUUUGUGUGAAUGAAAAUUAUAAAUUUUGGAAAGUGUCUUUAAGUUGUGAACAUUGUAAAUGAGUGUCAUAAACUGUUUUAUUAAAUUGUGAAUUAAAGUCUUGAAAUGUGAGUUUUAAGUUGAGAAUAUAGUUAUGAACGUAUAAUUUUUGUCUGUUAAACUACAAAUUUAUUAUACUAAGUUGUGAAUUUGUGUAUUAAACUGUGAACUGACUGUAUUAAGUUGUGAAUUUUAUGUAUUAAAUUGUGAAUUGACUGUAUUAAGAGUUUUAAGUUGAUAAUAUGGAUGUGAAUUUAUACUUUUGUGUAUUAAAUAAUGAAUUUAUUAUAAUAAGUUGUGAUUUUAUGUAUUAAGCUAUGAUUUUUAUGCUUUAAACUGUGAAUUAACUACAUGAUUUGUGAAUUUUUUUAAACUGUGAAUUAACUAUAUUAAGCUGUGAAUUUUUGUGUAUUAAAUUGUUAUCUUUGUGUUUAAAAAUAUGAAUUAACUGCAUUAAGCUGUGAAUUUUUUUGUUUAAACUGUUAAUUGACUGUAUUAAGUUGUGAAUUUUUAAUGAAUUUUGUGUUAAAAUAUAAAUCAUUUACGUGUGGAUGUUUUUGUACUAGUUUUCUUGUGAAUAUAUUUAUUUAUUUUUUGUUGUAUAAAUAUGUAAGAAGGUAUUAGUUUUAUAAUUAUUUUGCAGUAAACUCAUAAUAAGUGAAUUACUUGGUUUAUUAAAUUGUGAAUAUUGUAUUUAAGCUGCUAAUUAACAAUUUUAUAUACAUAUUUGAUUUAGAAGGAAUGAUGACUGCGAUGGUGACAAGUGUAGCCGGUGAUGUGGUAUUAUAUUUGGUGAUGAUGGUAGAGUUUGAUUUUAUCUUCUUUGAAUUUUUGAAUUACUGUAAAAUUGAUUGUAUUAAGUUGUAAAUUUGUGUAUUAAACUAUAAAUGGAUUGUAUUAAGUUGUAUAUUUUAUAUAAGUUUUACCCUAAAACAUGAAUGAAUAAAUGCAUGAAAAUAUUAAAUUGCCUAUUAGUGAAUUAAUAUAUUUAUUAAACUGUGAAUAUAAUAUUUUAAACUGUGAAUAUGCAUUAUACACGAUAGUUUUUAUAGAAAUCUAAACUUUAAAAAAAGAAAAUUUGAAUUUUUUUUGUUUAUUAAUAUUUUGUAUGUUUGGCUGCAAAAAUAAAAUGGUAUGUGUGUGUUAAAAAGAAUUACCAAAGAAAUGAAAACUACAAUAUUUGUUUUAUUAAGUUGUGAAUAUAACCAGAAAAUGUCAUUAAAUUUAAUGUUAGUCUAACAGUGGUCCGACGGUGAAAGUGGCAAUUAGUUUGUAAAUUAGGGAAUGUAAAGUAUGUUUAAUAUAAUAUUAAUAUUUGAUAAGUCCAAAAUGCCCUUAAUGAACACAUUUAAAAAAAUGGUUCUUAGGGUUCUUAAUAUUUUUANGAAAAGUGAAUAUGUGGCUGUUAUGUACCUAAGCUUGGAUAUACAAGAUUUUAAACGAGAUAGUUUUAAACAAAACAAUUUUCAUUUCAUUUUCUCUUAAUUUUGUUUUAAUAAAAUACCAUUGAAAUGAAUUAAAUUAUGAAAUUAAAAAGAUCAAUUAUAUAUCUUUUUAUUGUAAAAAAUCAUCAAAGUUUAUAAGAAACGUAAAACACCAAUAUUUUUUUAAUGAAUAUAAUUCAAAUGUUUCCUCCUUGAAUUGAAAAAACUAUAUCUAAUGAUUUGUGAAAACCUUGAUAGAGUUAUUUGUAUGUUUUUAUUUUAUCUUUAUUCUAUUAUUUUUUAUUUAAAAUUUGGUAGGACUCAUUCUAUGGUAAUGACUUUUAAUGUUUUAUGUUGUUAGACACAAUUAUGAAAAAAAAACAUAAAUUUGAUCGUUUUAGUAAUUCACGUGAUUAAGGAAGAAUAAUAAACGAAAUAUCAUGAUUAAUUGAUAUAUAAAUGAAUCAAAACUACAUACUUUGGAGGGUACUAUAUAUAGUUUGUAAUACCACCUUAACAAAAAAAAUGUAAAAAAAAUGUAAAAAAUUGGUCUAAUGUGAACUUUAUCAACUUUGAUUUUUUUGGCUUAUUACAUUCUAUUUUUUAGCAUAUUGGAAGAUAUGAUACAAAAUGACAUCCUAAAGUAUAAAUAUUUAGAGAUUUAUUUUAACUUUUAACAAGAAACGAAAUAGGAAAUAUGAAAAACGGCCCAACAAUAAUAUCUUAGGGUUAUUGACAUAAAACCACAAAAAAUAUAUAUCACGGUUGGGUUUAAUUGGUCCUAAGCUUUUUUUUACACCUCUUAGACCAUUAAAAUCAAAAUAAAAUGUCAAUUAUAUCAUUUUCAGACCUGUGAAGCGGUCAACCGGUUACUUGUUGUCAAGUGGACAUUAACUUAUGUUUAACUCUUGUUAAAUGAUAUUUAACCAAUUAAUGUGUACAUAGAUUGAUCAAAAAGAGUAAGGAUGAGAGAGAGAGAGAGAGAGAGAGAGAGAGAGAGAGAGAGAGAGAAUCUCCAAGAAGAAGGCAGGGAGAUUGUAAGCUAGAAAGAGGGAUCGAGAAUGGAUUAAAGGAAAAUUGGUUGAUGGAGUUAUUGCAAGUUUUUGGUAGAGGUUUCAUUAGGAGGUAUAACUCUCAUGAAAACUCAAACUCUAAUGGUGAAGAUAAAGUUCAAGAGAGCAUCUCCGACUAGUAUUAGAUCUCCGGUGAAGCAGCAACAAGAUAGAUGGAUUUAUUAUACAAAUGUGUUUCACAAUUUACGAAUAAAGGAAGAGAGCCAGCAUCUUAAAGGGUCGAAUAUGUUCCAGAUUUGGAUGGUAGUGGGAGGCAGGAGAUGGUUGCCUAUCAUUUAACAAGUGUCAAAUAUAUAUAUAUAUAUAUAUAUAUAUAUAUAUAUAUAUAUAUAUAUAUAGAGGUGUGCUAGGUCNAAUGAAGUAGCCAGGUAACUGCUUCCUUUCACAAACCUAAAAGAGUAAAAAGGAUAUAAUUCAUAUGUAAAUUUUGAUUUUAAUGGUCCAAGAGUUGCAAAAAAAUAUUCAAACCCAAAUGACACUUUUUUGGGCUUUUAUGUUAAUAACCCUAAUAUUUAUCGGAAACUAAAAGUGGAUAAUGGAAUUCAUCCAUAUAUAUCAUGAAGGUCUACAAAUAAGCAUAUUUCAUGUACGCAACAUCAUCAUCAUCAUCUUAUCAACAAGACUCUCUCACAAUUUAUAAAUCAAAAGAAUAAAUUGAACAUGGAUAUAUAACUAUAGAUAUCAUAUGUAAGCAAGUAACUAAAAAAACUACACAAACAAACAAACAAACAAGCCAAAAUCCUUACUUUAGUAUCUUGGAAUUUGUCUUGAGAAUCUACUUGGAUUGUUGUCUGGUGAUGCAAGAGGAACUGUCGAAAACUCGGAAUUACGUGAAGUGUGGUUUGCGGGAAUUGGAUUACUACUACUAAUUCCAAUUCCAUCAACAUUGUUUUGAGAGGAGGAUGAUGAGGAUUCUCUCUUUUCCCUUUCUUCACCUUCUUUUAAUAGAAAAUCAACCCACAUAUCCGCAAACGACUGAAAAACAUACAAAAAAACUUACAAUUACUCCAUAACCAUAACACCACCUACUUUACUCCUGCUAUCAAUAUAGGCAAUGUACUUUAUCUUUUACCCAUAAUAGCAACAUACUUAUUCUUAUUUGUUAAUAAAAAAAAAUGUUUAACAUACUCUAUAUAAAGACUCUCUUUUAGACUAAAUGAACUAUCUUUGAUGAAAUGACCAUUUUACCCUUCAAAUUUAGAAGUGAAGCACAAUAACAAAAUGACUGUUUAUUUUAAUAAGUGUCAUAAAUUGAAAUUAUAGUUUAUUUGUCUGGAGUAAGUGUUGGUACACAUAGAAAUUGUUUCUUGAUUGGACCGAAUGAAUGUGAGUGAAUGAAAUGACCACUUUAUCCUUCCGUUUAAAAAUAAUGUUGAAUUAAAAAUGACUGUUCAUUUACGAGCUGUUGAAAACUGAUGGGUGUUUAUUUGAAUUGGUAUAAAUAAUGCUACAGAAUUAAACGAAACACAAUAUUUAACCAUAAAGAAAAGAAAAAGGAAGGGCAAAAUGAGUGGAUAGAAUUACCUGAUUAUCUGCUGCUGCCAUGUUGGCAGAAGUAUCGGAUGAGGCCCCACUUAACAUGCCACCAACUAGACGACCUGGCAGACCAAAAACACCACGGACAACACUUUUGCCUGCUGCUCCUUGCUGAGCGACCCCGAUCCUCUGUUUCUCAUCCUCAGAGAAUCCUAGCAUGCGUACCAUAAGAUCCAGAACCUAAAACCCACCCACACAACAUAUAUACAUAUGAAAAAUGAAUAAACCAUGUUUAUGUUUCGGAUGGAAGUCAUUACAUUCCAUCAUCAUGUUUGGUGAACUUUUGAAUGGACUUUUGAUCUUUGAUGUUAUAUGUAGAUAAACUCCACACUAUACACUAUUUUAAUUAUUAAAAAAAAAAACAAGUAUUAUUUACAAAAUAAACAUGAUAAAAGCUUGUCAAAAACCAAAAUAAGAAUAAUAAUAUUUUAGUUAUUUGUAAAAGAUGAACUGGCAACCAAAAGGGCAAUUUACAAAAUAAAACAAUAAAUUAUGUUUUGGGAACUUAUGUGGUUUGGUUUAACCACCAAUACUUUAUUUUCUCCAAUCAAACCAUCAACGUUUCACACAUUUUUUCCAAAUUAACCAUUGUUACAUCGGGUUUCAACAGUAAUUUUCAAAUUAACCAUUUUGUCUAUGUUAUAUCAGGUUAAAAUUGUUAAUUUGGAAAAAUGUGUUUAUGUUUUGGUUGGAAAAAAUAGUGGUUAAACUGCAAAAUUGUUCAAAAUAUAACGGAUUUUAAAUAUAAAAAAAUAAUAAUAAUAAAGAAUAAGGAAUGAAAGUAAACUAUAUUGAAGGGAUCAUAUUCCAUUAUUGAUUAUGCUAAAACAAACAGGUUCUUUUUUUUUUAAUUCCAAUGGAAUGAAAGAUUCCAUUCCUUCAAAUCAAACAUUACCCAAGAGAGAUUUUCCAUACCUCUUUACUAUGGUUCCUCUGAAAGUAAGUCACCAACAAUUUGAUCACAAUCCGCCUGCAGUCAGCACACAAAGUCAUUCAUAUAAAUACAAUAUAUAUAUAUAUAUAUAUAUANAUAUAUAUAUAUAUAUAUAUAUAUAUAUAUUUAACGAAUUAAUACUUGUAAAUUAAAAUGAAAAAAUAAUAAUAAUAAUAAUGACCUGUCAACAGAAAAAUCAGAGUCCAUUGACAUUCUGUUAAGUCUUGUCAUGCUUUGUUCAAGAGCACGUCGUAGUUUGCUGUUAUCUUCUUCUAAUUUAUUCACUCUCCCUUUUCCUUCUGCUAAGACUCUUUCAGCAUGUGAAAGUUUUUCCAUUAUUUCCUCCUUUUCCUGCUUUGUUGUCUCCACUUGUUGAUAUGCCUCCUGGUAAUUAGAUUCAACCAAUAACAUUAUGUACACAAUGAGAGAGAGAGAGAGAUAAAACCAAGAGUAAUAUUACAAAUUUACUCCAUGUAUAAUAACAUCAUGUACACAAUCAUUUGGAUUUCCUUUCUGAUUUGUUCUUAUUUCCAUUUAGUAAUCAAAUAGCUACCUAGAUCUAUAUACCUCAUAUUAGUUUCGUUUACCUGUUAAUUGAUUCACAUUCCUAUCAUAUUAUGUAUUGUUUUGUACUCAAAUCACAGGUUUAGUCCAAGUUGUGUUUUUGUUACGAAUUUGCCCUUGUGGUUUUAGCUUUGUUGUGGAUAUAAUAGCUGGAAGUUCAGAAAGUGCAUCCCACUCGGGGGGAAAAAAGGUCAUUUUGUCACUCUCUCCUACGUCUAUUACUUGAUAUAGUUAUAGUGUAGGUAGGAGAGAGAGAGAGAGAGAGAGAGAGAGAGAGAGAGAGUUUUUUUUAAAAUGACCUUUUUGCCCUUGUGUAGGAUGCACUUGGCACUUUUUUUAAUGACAUAAGUUGGAGAGACCACAAUUUUGUAACAGAAAUGAAACCACCAGCAAAUUUGUAACAGAAAUGGAACUUGGACUAAACAUGUGAUUUUUUAGUACAUCACAGGGAACAGAUUUAUAAUUUACAAAAUUGGUCCCUCCCUGUGGUAUACAAAAAUCACAUGUUUAGUCCAAGUUCCGUUUUUGUUACUUCUUUGUGGUUUCAUUUUAUUGCGGAUAUGGUCCCUCUAACUAAUGCCGUUCAAACCUGUCACAUGCAUCACACAUGAGUGGUAAAAUCAUAAAAUGACAUUUUUGCCCUCGUGUAACGGUCGGUUAGAGGGGGACCAAAUCGGCUAUAAAAUGAAGCCACGAGGACAAAUUUGAAGCAAAAGCGAAACUUGGGCUAAAUCUGUGAUUUUGAGUAUACCACAGGGACCAAAUUUGUAACCUACUCUAAAACCAACCUUUAAACGCUCAGAAAGUUUAGCAGACUCUUCUCUUGCAGAAGCCAAUUCCCUUUCCAAAUGUUCCUGAAUCAUAUACAAGUAGAAACGAUAAACACAAAUUCAUAAAACGUGACACCAAUUAAAAAGAAAAAGAAAAAACAGAAUAUACUAAAUUACCUUAGCUUCUAUUUCAGCAUAAUACUGACCAAGGGCAGUUUGGAGAUUUAACAGUUCGAUAUUUUUCGCAUCUAUUUUUUUAUGUAAAUCAUUCAUGAUUUCCCUGGACUUCAAAAGUUCAUUGCUAUUUAUCAUCUUAACCUCUUCCGCCUGAUUCAAAGAUCUCUCCAAUUGUCUUAUUUGAGCUCUUAAAUUUUCAUUGUUUUCUCGUAGCCCUUCGAUUAUCUUGCUGUCUUCAUCCAUUUUUUCUGAAUCUUCAGACUCCUAAACAAAAUUAAACAGUCAUCCAGUGAGUAUAAUCUGUAGAUUGUUUUUUUUUUUUAAUUUUUUGAGUAAAUUACAUUUUGGUCCCCGAGUAUAGCUGAUUUUUGCAAUUUUGGUCACAAAAAUAGUCAUUUCAUUUGUAACAGCUAACAGGAACCAAAAACAUUAUAAAAACUGAAAAUAAGGACCAAAACUGCAAGAGAAAACUUUCAGAAACCAAAAGUGAAAAAUCAGCUAUACUCGAUGACCAAAAAAUGUAAUUUACUCAAAACUUUUAUUAGAUUUAAGAUUUAAAGAAAAGAAAAAAUAAAAACCUUUUCCAGUAAAUGCUGUUUAAGCCGAUUUAGUUGUUGUAAUGCUUUGUCCCUUUCAUUUGAUGUUUCUUUCAGAUCUUUUUCCAGCUUCUGCAAAGAGGACUCCAUUUCUUCUUUGCCAGGAAAACUUCCUGAUACCUGAAGCAUUAAAAAAACAUGUUGUAUAAAAGUAUAGAAUGUAGGUCCGGCAUAAAUAUAUAUAAAUAAAUAAAAUUCAAGAGUAAAUUACAGAAAUGGUCCUUAUGAUUUCUGUUUUUUACCGUGUUUAGAAUAAAACUGAAAUAUUUUACAAUUUUGGUCCUUGUUUCAAGGCUUCAUAUUGAUUUUGGACUUAAAAACUUCAAACAAGAACCAUAAUUGAUAUGAAACCUUGAAAUAAAGACUAAAACUAGAGUAAACAAUGUAAAUAUCAGAGAGCACAAGGACCAUUUCUCUAAUUUACUCAAAAUUACAAAAAAGGGUCCUUAUGCUUUCUGAUUUUUACAGUGUUUAAUAUCAUUUUGGUCCCUGUAGCCUUAAAAUAAGAACCAAAUCGAUAUGAAACCUUGAAUUAAAGGCCAAGAUCGAUACAAAACGUUGAAAUAAUGACCAAUAUCAGAAAUUCCAAGGGACCAAAAUGGAUAUGAAAUCUUAAAAUAAGGACCAAAAUUGAAAAAAGUUUUAAUUUUGGACUGAACAUGGUAAAAAACCAAAAGCACAGGGACGACAAACCAUUUUGUAAUUUACUCAAAAUUAAAAAAGUGAAUAAUAUAUUUUUUGCACCAUGGUGUUAAAGCUAACAAGAAACCAACCUCAUGUACACCAUUUGAAUUUAAAGCUGCAGAUUUAUUAGCAACUUCCAAAGCAACCUUGAGUUCCUUUUUCUCCAUCUAUGAAAGAAAGCAAAAUGUAUAAAGAUAAUGAGAAGUAAUAAACAAUAUAUAUUAUUGUCCUUUUAUUAAAGAAAUUUUUUUACCUUGAGAUCAAUGUUCUCUUGUUCAAGGGUUGCCACUGUUCUUUUAAGACGCUCAGUAGCAUCAUUUGCUUCUGAGUUUUCCUUUUUGUUUAAUUCCAUCUGCAAAUGUCUUAUUUCAGAUACUUUUCUGCUCAGCUCAUCUCUUAUUUUAUUCAUCUCUGUGAGCAUCUACAAAAAGAAAACAAAAGUCAUUUUGGAAAGGAAUUGGAAUCUUUCACAUGUUUAGUUGGCAGGAAAUGGAAUGGAGUUCAAUUUCAUUACUUUGUAAUGCUCUUUAAUGACUUGUUUGUAUACUAAUACUAUUACUAUUGUUUGUUUUAUAUAAAUAAAUACAUAUAAAACUUACAUUUUCUUUAUCCGCCUUUAAGCUAUUCUGUUCAUCCUGGAAAGAUCUGUUCAACUUCUGUUCCUCUAGAAACGAAUUAUGACAUCAGACAAUAUCCAAUUAAUGAAAAAACAAAUAUCAGAAAAGCACACACAGCCUGUUAUAGUCCAAUUGCCAUAAAAACCAUAAUAGAAAGUUUGUGUCAAAAUUCAGUUCCAGCAUUAGAGACAAGAAUACCUUGGAAUCUGAAAUGCAAACUUGCCAGCUUUCCACGUUCUUUAUCAAGUUCCUCUUGUAAUCCUUUUAUUUUUUGGUCAUGUGUUAAUUGAAGUCUUGCAAGAGAUUUGUUUUUCUCCUCCAGCAAAUCAGAUAGCUCCUAGAAGUUAUUCAUAUAUCUGUCGUUAAAUUCAUUCAUUCAUUAUGUACUUACUACCUGAAACUGAAAGAUGCAUACUUUAAUUAUCAACACAAUUGUAUGAGCAUUUAUUUGUUACCUUUUCAUUGCCUUCACUGCUUGAAUUCCCAUUCUUAUUUGAGUGUGAAACUCCAUUUCCUGAUGCAUCUUCUUUUAAUAUCACACCAUUUUGCACCACCUUCUUUCCAAAAGAGCGGUUCUUCUGCCAUCAAUUAAUUAAGUUACAAAUUCCCCUUAAAAGUGAAAGGUUAAAUCAGGAAAAUGAAGGUAAAAAGAAUGGGUGUGCAAAAAAAUUGAAACCAAAACAAAAAACAGAACAACUGAUGGUCUGAUUUUUGAUUUCUAGAAAAAAAAAUCAGUUUUUUUUAGUAUUAAAUCCGGAAAAAAGACCAAAUGCCGUUUUAUGCAUCAGUUUAAUUGAUUAGGCAUUUGUAAAUUAUAAUAAUGAACAUGUCUUUACGUUUCCAUUGAAAAUUUUAAAAAAUGAAAAUGCCUUUACAUCGUCUUGUAUUACUUUUUAGUAAACUACUUGUUUCUUCUUUUAGUUAAAUCAACAUGGCUAACAAAAGAUUAAUUAAAAGAACAACUGAAAAUCAGUUAUCCAUACAAAAUGAAAGUAAAUAUGCAGGUUGAGUUCAUGUCAAAAUUUUCAACCCUAACCCAGGAUUCAUCAAGUUGACCCGUUUAAUAAAAGGGUUAAAAAUCUCAAACAAACUCCUAAUUUUAGGUUGGGUUCGGGUUGUAAAGUUGAUUAAACGUGCAGUUGUGAAUACUAAAAAGCCAAUAUAAUAGAUAAAUUGUAUCACUUGACAUAUUAAAGAAAGCAAAGAAGUAAAUAAUCAUAUAACUCAUAAAGUUACCUUUGACCCUUUCGGGCUAUUUGCUGAAGACUUCAAACUCUCGCUUCUAGAUGCAUCGAUGUUUUUCUUCAACCAACUGUUUUCAUCAUUCAAUCUAGAAAUACGAUCCUGUGAAUGGAACAAUGAUCACUUUUUAAAAAGUCUCUAAAAGUAAAGUAAUUUCACAAACAAAAUGUAAUGGUAGUUUGGAAAUAACAAAUCCAAAAAAAAAAACAUAAUAGUACCUCUCUUUCUUUCAGUAAAGCUGCAUAAUUAACUGAUAAUGCCUUGAUCUGUGCCUCAGAUUCCUGAAGCCGCUUGAUCUCUGCUUUGUAUUGUUCAAUCUGCAAUAUGAAAUAAUUUAAACACAAAAGGCACGUCUGCUUAAGAAAAAUCGAUUUUUCAGAGAAGUGACACAGAAUGCCCAUAACAAGAUAUACAUAUGAAACUGUACCAAGGGCAGAAAUUCAGGAGUGUAUAAGCUUAUAGCAUUUAACAACAUUCAAGGAAACUGUGGAUUCUAUUUUACAACAUUCAUGUGAACUCGAGAAGCCACAGCAUUUACAAUGGAUUCAACACUUAUGACAGUCCAAAUCACUAGCAAUCUAUCUGGCAAGAAAUUUCAUCUGCUAGAUCCAAACUACCAUUAUAGAACUAAUAUUCCCAUAAACUGUCACAUGGAAUGCUGCAAUGGGACGUUCAAGUCUUGCUACUAUGCUGCUAUUCUGACAUGGAUUUAAGAAAAUACAAGCUACAAAUUUAGGGUGUAAACGAAUGCCUAAAACAUCCUUUCUAGCACUUAUUUAAACAAUCAAAUUGAAAUAAUGCAUCAUCAAGUAACAAAACAAGCUAAAGGCAACAAAAUGCACAUGGUAUUCAAGCAAGGAGAUUUUCAUAAUGCACCAACACUCAGGAGAUUUUCAUAAUGCACCAACACUCAGGAUUUUUGGUUUGCUCUAUCCAAAUUUCUCCUAAAUGAUAAUGUCUUUAGAAUGCCCUCCGUUUCUGAGCACAUCAACUAGAUUUUCGACUGUAACCUCGCUCACAAGCGUAAUCGAAGUUCACCAGGAUGUAGAUACCUAACCCUCUCAGAAACCCUAACUACGUGUAUUCAGAAACAGAAGUUGUAGUAAAUCAAUUCAAACAGAGAUAACCCGUAACCAACUCAGAGUUAGCUAAACCAACAAAACUCGCACACCAUACAAUUUGACACACAACAACGUUUUAUUGCAAUCACCUCUGAAUUAGAAGUCGAAUCUAGACCAUUGGCGAUGGGGGAAAAGUUACGACCAUGAUUGAGAGAAACUCUCCGAUCAGAAAACGAAGAGUUUCUAGAAUUAGGGAUCUCCGAUAGCUUCUCAUAAUCAUCGGCGUCAUCCUCAUCGUCAUCAUCGUGAACAUCCAAGGCGAUUUUAUUUAGGUUUUCUUUCAAAUUCGCAAGAUUCGUGCUCCACAUCGUAUCUCCUCCGAUCAAACGAGAUCAAAAACCGAACAAUAAUCAAACCUUAUUAGUGAAGACUUCCAAACGAGAAAUUCGAGCAAAAUUGUCGGUGAGAUUAAGCAAGAUUCGUGUGUAAAUGUUUUUGAUACAGAGGUCGAAUUUCGGCUAUCAAACGGACGUUCGGUAGAUCUGAUAAAUGGGAAGUGUAACAGUCUUUACUCCGAUGAAUAACAACAUUAAGGUAAGUAAUGCGGAAGGUAAGUAAUGCGGAAUCUCUGUAUAUAUAUUAAUACAAUAUUAAAACAAACCUUAUGAUAACCAUUCAUUGUAUUUUUUCUUUUAUUUCAAUCUUAGAUCUAUCUUAGGGCCUGUUUGAAAGACGUCUGACCCGUCUGAGUCAGCGAUCCUGGCUGACUCGGUCAGCCAGAUGGUGUUUGAAAUGUGCUGUUUCGGUCAGCAGGUCUGGGUCAAUCGACUGAAUAGGUCAGCUUGGUUUAUGCAUCUGACUGGAAAAAAAGACUUCCUUACCCCUGUUCCCUUCGUGACCUAAAAAGAAAAGCGGCAGCGAUUCUUCUUCUUCUUCAAUCGGCGUCUUCUUCAAUCAGCGACUUCUUCAACUGGUGUCUUCUUCCUUCAGCCGGAAAUCUUCCUUCAGCCGGAAAGCUGCUCUCCUUCCAUCCAAGCUCCGCCCGUCUUCUCCUUCUCCUGCCAGAAUCGCCCCAUCUGCUCCAUCUAUAAUCUUCAAAACAGGUAAGGAAAUUCCGAAAAUCUCUUAAAUAGUUUAUGAAAUCCGAAAAUACUAGGGUAUAACAUCUUCUCCUGCUUGUAUAAUCUCUGAAAUCGUAUAGUGUAUGAAAUCAGAAAAAAAAAAAAAUAUGUAUAAUCUCUUAAAUCUUAAUUAUGUAUAAUGUAUGUAUAAAUUAUGAAACCAUGAUUUUUUUCAUUGUAUAAUCUAUGAAAUUACCUGUAUCAAAUUACAUCAAAUUACAGGCCCGUAGACUUUUCUUUCUUGUAUGCCAUUGUUGUUCACAAAGUUGCAGCUUUCCUAUAUCAAAUUGCAUAGAAACAACUGAAAAAGAAUCAUGUGUACAGUGUUGAUGAUGCAUCAAAUGACUCAUUCAUAACAUUAUAUGCGUAAUAAAUGAUGAGAAGAUUGCUAUUAUUUUUUUGAGUUGUUGCCCUUUUUGUGAAAUCAGAAAUCAAAAAUUGGUUUUGAAAUCAAAAUUUGUUCUUGGUCUAAUGUUAUGAAAUCUUAAAUUGGUUAUGAAAUCAGAAAUUCAUGUUGUUAUAAUGUUAUGAAAUCUGAAACUUGGUUGUGUAUAAGAUAUGUGAUCAAAAAUCACAAUUUUUUUUGUUUAUAAGCUAUGAAAUAUAAAAGUUAUGAUGGCAAUAUUGGUUUGUGUACAAACUUGGUUGUUUAUAAGCUAUAAAAGCUGAUUUUUUUUUGUUUAUCUUAAUAAAACUUAUGAUAAAUUACUUUAAAUAUUAAUGUUUUAGGAUGUUGGUUUGGAAUGAAAGUGAGGACAAAACUUUUCUUGACGCAUGUAUCCAUGAACUAACCACUAAUGGUCGUGAGGGUUCUGGGCUUAAGGCUAGUUCAUGGAAGAUAGUACGCGAAAAAUUGAUGAACGAACACGGUAAAGAGGUUGAUCAAAAGCAAAUGAGAAACCACUUUGACUACUACAAAUCAAAGUAUGUUGCUUGGGUGAAACUGAAAAACAAAACCGGCAAUAUAUAUGACCCUAUAAAAAAUAAAUUUAACCUGACGGAUGAACAAUGGAAGGAAGAGGGGAAGGUAAUAUUUUUAUAACAAAUACUAUUAUAAUUAUUUUUAUAAAAAAUACUAAUAUUCAUAAAAAUUGUAAACAGCUGAACAAGUUCGUGUUGUCAUUGAAAACUAAACCCCUGCUGUUUCCUGAUCUUUGCACCCAACUAUUUGAAGGGUCGACCUCAACCGGCUUUCAAAGUUGGGGGCCAUCUUCUACACUCCCUCGUCCUGUAGAAGAGUUUAGUGUCCAUGAUUUUGAUGAUGAUGUUCCAAUGGAAACCUCAACACAACACGUAGGUGCAAGUGAAGAAUCUUCGGGGCGUUCAAAAAAUACGGAAGUUGGUGGAAACAAAAGAGUUGGUGGAAAAAAGAGAGAUGCAAGGGCGUUAGAAGUUGAAGAGGAGAUUGUCAAGCUUGCAAGGUCAUUAGUGGAAAAAAUGAAAGAAUUGAAAAAAGUGAAAUGGAUAAGGAUGGUUAUGCGUGUAUGGAGAAAUUAAACAAAAUGGAAUGGGGGGAAGAAGAUGAAAGACACAAGACCGCUCUUUUGCUAUUUGGUGACUGAUGUUAGNCAUACUAGUUGUGAGUCGUGGGUGAUGGGUGCGGGUAGGAAGUAUGGUUACCUUUGAUGGGUGCGGGUAGAAAAGUUUGGUUAUUAGUUUUUUGUUGCAUCACUUUUGGAUCCUAUGUUUGACACUUUGGAUGUUACUUUGGAUGAUGUUAUUUGCAUGACUUUUGGCUGUUAUUGGAUGUUAAAUAUGACUUUUGGUAUUUACUAGUUUUUUGUUUUAUGACUUUCGGAUGUUAUUGGAUAUUGAAUAUCACUUUUGGAUCCUAUUUUUUACUUUAACAUGUUACCUAAUUGUUUGUAACAGGUCAAGUAUGGUUUCUGAUGGUGAAGUUGUAGCUUUUCUUUUACUUGUGUUUUAUUGGCUGAGGUCAAACCGACGCAGACUAAUACGAAUUCAUAGAAUUAGAGAUAACGAUUCAAGCGGGUAUGCGUAUACGCAAAAUUUGAUGUACGGAGACCCUACACAAUGUUACGAUAUGAUGCAUCUUACACAAGAGGCAUUUUCUUUAUUAUGCAACCAUUUUACCCAAAAAAAUUGGUUGCAAGCUAGCAGGACAAUAAGCAUUGAAGAGAAAAUGGCUAUAUUCUUACAUGUUAUAGGACAUAAUGAACGUUUUCGCGCGGUUAAGGGAAGAUUUCAUCACUCCACACAAACGAUUCAUCAAUGUUUUCAUGAGGUCCUAACUGCAAUGAUGUGUUUUGCAAAAGAAAUUAUAGUACCAACAACUCCUAAUCCAACAAGACAUAACUCAGAACGACAUAGACGGUUAAAAAAUAUUUUUUCCGGAGCAAUAGGUGCAUUAGAUGGAACUCUUGUACAUGCGGUUGUACCCGUUGAUCAACAAACUCGUUAUAGGGGACGAGGAAAAGGAGAAUGUUUUCAAAAUGUUAUAGGAAUUUGCGAUUUUGAUAUGAUAUUUACCUUUGUUUGGGCUGGAUGGGAGGGUAUAGCACAUGAUUCAAGAGUUUUGAAAGAAGUUGCAUUCAAUUCGACUUCUGGAUUUCCAUUUCCUCCACCGGGUUUGUAAUAUUUAUAUAACUUUUAUUAUCUAUCUUCUUUAUAUAAUAUGUGUCACAUUCAUUUGCAGAGAAGUAUUACCUUUGUGAUGCCGCAUAUACAAACACUCGUGGGUUUAUGGCUCCAUACCGCAAUACUAGGUAUUGGUUAGCCGAUUUUCGAAGAGGCAGACCUUUAACUAGAGAAGAAAGGUUCAACUAUGCUCAUGCACAACUUAGAAAUGUUAUUGAGCGUGCUUAUGGUGUUUUGAAGGCGAGAUUCCCAAUCUUAAAACAAAUGGCUCCUUAUCCUUUUACCGUGCAAAGAGACAUAGUCAUUGCUUGUGUCGCGGUCCAUAAUUUUAUAAGGAAAUACAAUAUAGAAGAUGACUUGUUUAGAAAUUUUGAGGAGGACACUAUGGUUACUCCUGACGUCCAAGGUGGGGGAAUUGAUAGAGAAAACAUACAAGGCAUAGAAUGGGUACAGAAGCCGUUGAAUAUAUGUGUGUUUUGCGUGAUCAGAUUGCAAAUCAACUACUUUCACCUACUUUACGUUAAAUUAUUAUGUUAUUUUAAAUUUCAUUAUGUUUUUAUUUGGAUAUUAAAUGAUUUAUGUUUAAUUUACAUUUUGUAUGACAUUUUUUAUUUGUGUGUAAUUUACAUUUUGUAUGACAAUAUGUGUGUUUUUAUAAUUAUUCAGCAACUUAAUCCAUCAGUAUAUAUAACAGAAGGGUAAAAUAGUCAUUUUUCAUCACUCAGCACAUUAAGUCAGAUGUAUAAUCAAACAAUAACAUUUCUUACUCAGUCAUGAUUUCUUACCCAGACAGACCUUUCCCAGUCAGCACUUUCUCAGUCAGCAACUAUCAAACGGGGCCUUAAUAUUUUUGGUGAUGUCAUCCUAACAAAAUAAUUCACUAUUUAUUUUCGUCUAUCAUAACUAUUUCUCAUAUUCAAAUAGAAAAAUGAGUCACCAAAGACGGGAACUUAACUAACCAUCAACAUUAUCCUAAUUUUAAAUUUUAAAAAAUAAUCCUAAAAUAUUCUACAUUAUCUAUCCUAACUAUAUUUUGAAAUUCAACAUUUAAGGGAUAAGAUAAAAAUGACUUUUAUCUUAUCCCUCCAAAACCAACUUGGAUUCAAUACAUAUAUAUGACAUAUUUCGCCAAAAUUUAUUUUUAUUUUUCCUUCCACGCUCCUGCAAAAGGUGGGUUUUUAUUGUGUUUUAUCUAUGUUUUUACCUCUUCGUUUAUAUUGAUAUUCACAAUACUAAAUCAAUACUUUUUCCUUUCUACAGCCUUUGAUAGCAGUAAACAAUUGUUAUCUUGGUUAAUCAAAGGCAAAAAGGUACGUAUUUCAUUGUUUAUCAAUAUUUAUUCCUUUCUACAGCCUUCUAUAUGAUAAGUGUUCAUACUUUUUUUUUGCUUUGUUGUUUUAUGUGAAAUAUAUCAACAUACUAUGUAUGUUUUGAUUUAAUACCAUCCUACUUCCAUUAUUCCAUAAUUACAACCAACUAUUAUUUUGCAAAAUACAAUUAAUGUUUAUUUUUGUAUUUUUCAUGGUUAAGUAUGUCAACCAAGAAUGUAUAUGUUAAUUGAACAACAUCAUAUUUAUAUUAAACAAAAACCUUGUGAAUGUUUGAAUUACUUUUUUAACUAUAUCUCAUAAUUAUCUCAAAUACUGUUCUAUUUCUCAUAGCACAAGCGAAAUGACACAUAACAGUGACAAUGAAAUCGUCAUUGACAAGCUGGCUGACAUAGAUGCCUCCAAAGAAUCAUGUAAUAUUCGUGUUCAAGUUGUCAUGAUUUAGAAACAGACAAAAAAAAAAAAAAAAAANUAUUCUUUUUAAAAUUUUAAUGAUUUAAAAAAAAAAAAAAAAAAAAAAAAAAAAAACAAACAUGGUCAGCAGCUUGGACGUGAUUUUAAUGGAUCAUAAGGUACGAUUAAAAUAAUAUGAAAAAAACUUAUGUUUUAUUUUUAUUUCAUAUAAUAAUAUUAUAUAUCACCUAUGGGGCACUAGAAUACAUGCAACAAUCAAAAACAAAUCUCAUAAAUGCAUUUCAAGCCCUCCUAGAAGAAGGAGCUGUAAGGCAAAUCACUAACUUUGGUAUGGCCAGAAACGAAGGAGAUUACAUGUUGGUUGCUCACAAGCAUAUGAUAAAUUUCUACAAAACAAAAACAAUUCGUGUAUCAACUCAUUUUGUUGAUAGGAUCGGUCCUUUUAAGUUUGUGAGUUUUCAUGAUCUGACAGCCAAAAUUUUUGACAUUCGUGUUGCAUUUGGUGAGUUUUUUUCCUUAACAGUUUUGCAUUUAUUAUAUUAUACAUAUUUAAAACCAAUUUAUAUUAUAAUAAUUGAUUCAAAUUUAAUUUUUGUAGAUUUUAGUGGUCAAGUUGUAUCUACUGAACCCAUGAGAGUGAUUAAGGAGAAUGCAAGGGAAACAAGGCUAAUGAGUAUUAUCGCACAAUAUCUGAGGUACUUUUUUUUAUUUUUCAUUAAUUUAUCAUGUUUAAUAUUUUAUUCAUAUAACCUAAACAAUCAAUUAUAGUGGUAGAAAAAUGUAAGUUGCUUUGUGGGAUGGUCUUGCAUUGAAGUUGAACAGCUACAUAUUUGAACAUCAAAAUGAAAAUGCUCAUGUGAUCAUCCUCCUACGUAUGGCAAAGCUCAAGACUUGGGGUGGUAAGAAUAAUUAUUUUUAGAUGUAUAUGCUCAUUACAUUAAUAUUUUAUUUAUAAUAUGAAAUAAUCUAUUACUUCAAUUGUUAUUUAUAGUUCAGCCAUAAGUCGGUAAUUGUUUAUUUGGGUUGAGAUUGCAUAUUAAUGAUGAUAUGCAUCAUAUUUCAGAAUUUAAAAAGGCAUAUGUAUUUGAUGACUAUGAUAUAAUUAUUUACUGUUUUAUUUUUACUUAUUCUUAAUCAGUGAUUAUUAUUAUUAUUGAUCUUCUUCAUUUUUCCUUCUUACAUGUAGCAUUGUUGAUAUCGAUUUGAAUGUUGAGUCUUCCAUUAAUACUACACAACUUAACACAAAAACUUUCGUGGCCAAGCCAAAAGAUUACUACCUUCGUUUUCAAAUCAAAAAUAUUGAUGAUAUUCUAGAUUACAAUGAGGUAUACUUAAUAUUAUUCAUAUUUUUCCAUUAUAUAUAACAAUUUUUUUUAAUGUGUGUGUAUUUUUACCAAUCAGGAAAUUGGUUUGUCUAUCAUUGCUACUAUAAUCGGUUUCGAUUUGGACGAAGGAUGAUAUUCAUUUUAUUGUCGUGACUAUUCAAAAAAGGUAACUAAAAAUGGUGAUGAUAGUGAUGGUGAACCAUUUAAUUUUAAUGGUUGCGGAGGAGUUUCUGAUGUAUUCGGCAAGUAAGUUCAUAAUUUUACAGUUGUAAACUUCUUGUCUCAUGAAUCUUUAUUACAAUGUUUCAAUUUUUAUUUCAUUGUCCAUUAACGUGUCAUACAAUAAUAUUUAGGGUAAGGGUCGUAAUACGUGUUCAAGAUGAAACUGGGUCUACUUCUUUUGUUUUGUUUGACCGUCAUGUUAAAGAUCUUAUUCGGCGCGGUAAUCAUUGGUUGAUGGAAAAGAUAUCAAAGGUAGCGUUAUAUUAUACUAUUCUACUAAUUUGUAUUCACGACAAGUUAACUGUAUAUUGUUAUUGUAUUUUAUUUUAAUCGAGAUUUAUUAACUACUCACAUGUUUUAUUAAAAUAUUUUUUAGGAUCAAGGAUGUCAAAAGAUCCCCGAUGAGUUCAAUACGAUUCUUAAUAAGAAGUUUGUUUUUAAAUUUCAGAUUUCAAAGUUUAAUCUCGAGAACAAUUAUCACGUCUACACCGUUCAUAAGAUGACUAAUGAUGAACUUGUAGUUGGUGCAGUUUUCAAAGAUUCACCUCCAUACGAAGAAAAUAAUAUUCAUUCUGAUGGUACUCUUAUCAACAAGUCUAUUAAGGUAAAAUUAAAUUCAUAUAAUUUAGCAUUUUAACAUUGUUAAUAAACAUUUAUUCUUGAUGCGGUGACAAUAUUAAUGUUGUUAAUUAACAUUGUUUUAUUAAUUUGAUACAGGAAAACAGUGUUUAUGUUGAAUGUGACAAUAUUAAUGUUGUUGAUUUUGAUGCAGUGACACCGACAACUACUUCACUAAAACGCCCUAUUAAGAUUGUUACCACCACUGAAUCGUUUGAAUGGUCUUCCUCAAAAGCGGGUGUUGCUCCCCAUACCCUUAAGAUUCCAAAAAUGGAAAAAAUCGAAUAAAUUUAGCAGUUAUGAUUAUUUGACAUUUAUCAUUGACGAUUUUUCUUUGAGUUUUUAUUAUUUGCUUAAGGAUUUCUUUAACAAGUACGUUGUUUUCAUUUUGAAGAUUAUGUUUGUUUUCAUUUAAUUAUAACGUGAUAGUAGUCGUGUUAUUUGAGACAAGUUCAUAAUUAUGUUGAAUUCUUUUUAUGAAUUUUAAAUUUUACAUCUUUUGAUAUAUUUUGCCCUUAACUUAUGUUACAAACUAUGUUGACCAAGUCUAUUAUUGUAAAUUUGUUUUAAGUUUAAAUAACAAACUAUGUUGAUCAAAUAUAUUAUUUGUCAAUUUGUUUUAAGUUUAAAGGUAAUCUCCUUAAUCUUUGGCUUAAGUCACUGAGUUUGUUAUUCCACAAACAAGAUUUUAUAACAAUAAUUUUUUUAUUGUUCGUAACAAAGUAUGUUGACAUGCAAUUCUAAAAAAAAACAAAAAUAGCAUACCUGCAAUGACAAACAGAUAAUUGAAUAAAGUACAUGGCUUUUCCAAAUGAAAUGUGUUUUUAAUAAGAAAAUGAAAACCCAAUGUCUUAAUUUCUACACUUUUCAAAGUAAAAUGCUUACAUAAUAAACAAUAUGUAGUAGGGGUUGUUUGGUAAUAAAUGUAAAGUCUAUUUUUUUUUUCAAAUUAACCAUCAACAUUAUCCUAAUUUUAAAUUUUAAAAAAUAAUCCUAAAAUGGUCUACAUUAUUUAUCCUAACUAAAUUUUGAAAUUCAACAUUUAAGGGAUAUUAUAAAAAUGACUUUUAUCUUGUCCCUCCAAAACCAACUUGGAUUCAAUACAUAUAUAUAUAUGACAUAUUCCGCCAAAACCCAUUUUUAUUUUUCCUUCCACGCUCCUGCAAAAAGUGGGUUUUUAUUGUAUUUUAUCUAUGUUUUUACAUCUUCGUUUAUAAUGAUAUUCACGAUACUAAAUCAAUACUUCUUCCUUUCUACAGCCUUCUAUAACAGUAAACAAUUGUUAGCUUGGUUAAUCAAAUGCAAAAAGGUACACAUUUCAUUGUUUAUACUUACUUUUCGUGAUUAUAUUUUUUAAUUAGGUUUAUCUUAUUUACAUUCAAAAGUGUAAUUGUGUUUGUUUAAAUAGAUUUGUGUCAACGAAACACAUAUAAAAAAAACUAUCAGAAAACAAAUAUAUAAAAGUUCAUUAUAAACCAAAAAUACAAAAAUAAUGCAAGUCCACAUACUUAAACAAAGUCCAUAAUUCAUACUUGAAAAAAAAUUGUAAACUAUCUAUAUUUGUUAACCAACUUUAAUUCGUUAUUUUCUUCACCAAUAUCAUUUAACUCCAUUCUUUGUAUAAUCAUUUUUUAUGGUAUGUUAUCAUAUCCAUUUAUGCAUUAACUCUUCUCUCCAACUUUAUGUACUUCAUCUAAAAUUUUACAGUAUACAACAUAUAUGAAUACCAACAAUGGAAGAACCAAAUCAAAAACAUCGUCAUGCCCACCACUAUCGAACAUCACAAACGGUAAACUUUUAAUUUAAUAUUAUCAUUAGAUGUUUAGUGCAUAUAAUUUAUUGAUUUUCUUUUUUGUAUAAUAUAUAUUACCGUUAAAUUUCAUAUUUAAUGUCUAAUAUAUUUUCAUUUCAUCCACCUUUAUCAUACUUUUUUUUUGAAGAAAAUAAUUUCUACAUCCCCACUAAUUGUCAAGUUAUUCGAAAAUGCCCGGAAUUACAUUCAAACUCAUCAUCCCAUAACGUCCUACAACUGAAUUUGCAACCUACAACAAUUUCAUCAAGGUCCCACUUUCACAAAUAACCAAUCAGGGUAAAUUAUUAAUAAUUACUUUUAUAUUAUUCUCUCAGCCAGUCAACCCAUAUAAAGACUAUUAUUUUUUCCAAAUUUAAUAACUGUUAUGAUACUAAUAAACGGUUCGUAUACGUCGGUGACUUCAAAUGUCCAAACAAACAAAAAUGCAACAACUUUCAAGGAUGUAAGGACGCAUCACAACUCUGGUAAUAAUUAUCCUAUUGUUAUAUUGUAACAACCAAAAAUUUCAACACAAUUUAAACUUUUCAAAAACAACCCAUUUAAUAAUUGUUAUUACAAAAAGGUUUCAAUACAUUUUUUAUCAGAGUAUUCCCAGAUCCAUGUCAUAAACAAAAACACGAGGAGCGGUACGAUCACGCCUUCGCCUUGCCACAGUCUCCUGAAGAACCUGAAAAACAUUUAAAGUACAACUGUAAGCCCGAAAGCUUAGUGAUAUACCCCCAAAAUACCAACCACAAAUACGCCCUUCCAGGCUACGACCUUCCGGUCCAAAACAUAUUGCCUUCCGGCCCAUAGCAUAUUGUCUUCCGGCCCGUAGCGUAUUGCCUUCCGGCCCAUAACAUAAAUAGCAUACGUAACAAUACAGAAUAUAGAACAGCCAUGCACAUCGGGUCAAACUCCAGUCCAAAUAACCAUGUGUACAUAACAUACAAUCAUGCAACAGUUCACAGUCAACAAAUCAAUCAAACAGAUCACAUAACAUAUCAUCACCUUAACCAGGAUACCGACCUAACUGAUCACUAGCAUAGCAUCACCCUACAUCUCAGCCAAAAUACUACUUACGCACAUACGCCUUUCCAGGCCAUGACCUUCCGGUCCACAUAACAUAGAAUGCCUUCCGGCCCAUAACAUAAUGCCUUCUGGCCCAUAACAUAUAUGCCUUCCGGCCCAUAACAUAAUGCCUUCCGGCCCAUAUCAAACAAUACCAUAACAGACAACUAUCCGGAUUUCCAUCCGAUAAAGGGUCGGCCUUGGUGCCGUAGACCCUGUCGAUAUAGUGAGGAUAACUCACCUCGCACUGCCGAAACUCUAAACUGAAGAAGCAGAUUCUCGAAUCAUCGACUCACCGCAAAUCCCGAACUAGCCAUCAUAGCACAAAUAAACAUUAGGCCAAGCACCAUACUCUUCCAAGGGUAAAUUGACCAUUUUACCCUUAACCCAAUCCGGCCCAACAUUAGGUAAGCUCCCAAGCCCACCAAUGGCCCAAGUCCAAAAGUCCAAAGCAAAGCCCACUAUUGGCCCAAUUUACUAAAUUGGGCCCACAUNACCAAAUGGGCCUAACUCAUGAACCAUAACAAACCAAUGGGCCACAAUACUCUAACCAUAAUGUCCAGUCACGACCCAAAAUCCAGCAGUCCAAUAACAGCCCAAACUAUAAGGCCCAAAAUAAAAAUGUCACAGAUGGGGUACGCUGGGCGUACAACAAAGCUCGCAUCAUGGAAAUCGGGACACUGGCCCGCUACGCGGGGCGUAACUUCGCUAUUCAUCAAGUCCUCGUAACUUCUUAAUGGCUUAAGCUCUUAAGCCCAAACUUCAGAUCCCUAGGCCAAAUAUGCCUAAGAUUCAUAAAGUCUCAAACUUUAUCACUGGGGACGUCCAUAAGCUCUUAAUCCAAGGUCUUAAUCCAUUAAGACCUAUGUUUCUCACACAUGCAACAACUACAGCUCUUAGGACCUCAUUUUUCUCACUCAAGAACUCUCCAAAGGUCUAAAAGGACAGAUAAUCUCGGCCAACACAAAGCACGAGUCAAGGUGAGAACUUUGGGAUAAGAGAGAUGCUAAAACUCCACAACACUUAGAUCUAUGCAUAAUAGAUGGCAAGCAAGAAGCUUUAUACCUCAAACAAGCUCCAAAGGAUGGCAUCUCUUCAGAUCUACAAGCUCCAAUCGAUCCUCUUCUUCUUUGACAACUUCUCCUUUCUCCUUCUAGCCUUUCUUUUGCCAAAAUGGGCUUUCCAAGGUCAAACACACCCAACAAUGGAGGAUUACGGGUUUUCUAGGGUUUCUGAGGUUAAAGAUGAGCUUAUGGAGGCUAGGGUAUGAACCAACAUGUCCUUUAUAUAGUGGCUGACCCUAAUUUAGGGUUUGGAGUUUCUGAGAGUACGUUGGGCGUACUCACCCAGCCACCCCGCCAUCCUUCCCUCUAUUACGUUGGGCGUACGUCCAGCUUACGCUGGGCGUACCCAACCAAACUUCAAAAUACAUGCAUGCAUGGGACCUUUUCCUACUUUCUCCGCAAAGAACUAUAAACAAUAAUCAACUUCAUAACACCGCAACUCCUCUAAUCUAAACCCGCUCCCAAAUAACUUUACAUUCAUACGAGGGUGACGAGAAGCCCAAUGUUUCUAACAACAUACACCAGCCUGAAACCUCCUCGGAUGACACCCAUUUCCCGAAAAAGGACCAGAAUUGCCCUACCUCUUAAAUCUCAGGGACUCCCAAUUAAACAUUUUAAGAACGGGGUGUUACAUAUAUUACUACUUAUUAUAUUUUUUGUAUUGAAUUAAUUGUAAAUUUAACUUCAAUAUAUGUACUUUAAUAUUACAUAUACAUAUUCAUAUUUUCAUUAUCAUUUACAAUUCAACUUUUUUUUUCCAGAAAAUUGUAUCUUCAUAACCAUAAAAUUAUACUAAAAAAAGGUGUUCCGGUCAUGUUACUUCGUAAUAUCGACCAAACUAGAGGACUAUGCAAUGGUACUAGAUUACAAAUCGUAAGGCUUGGAAGACACGUCAUUAAAGCACGAAUUAUAUAUGGUAGAUUUUUCAACGAGACUACUUAUAUACCUCGCAUGAAGUUGACCCCAUCCGAUCAAAAAAUUUCAUUUCGUUUUCAACAUAGGCAAUUCCCAAUAGCACUUUGUUUCGCUAUGACUAUUAAAAAAUGUCAAGGACAAUCAUUAUCUAAUGUUGGAUUAUACUUGCGUAGACCUGUCUUCACCCAUAAUCAGUUAUAUGUAGUUGUUUCUCGUGUAACAAGCAAAAAAGGUUUAAAGGUACUCAUAUGUGACGAGGAAGGUCGUCAACCAAUAAAAUAAAAAAACGUUGUCUACAAAGAGGUCCUGUAACGUUUAUAGUUAUUUUAUCGAUUUCAAUGUUUCUUAUUCACCUUUCAAUAAAAACAAUAGCUAUAAACUUUCUUUUAUAAUUAUUAUGCAAUAUAUAUAAAUUUUUAGGUAAUUUUUUUAAUACAUUCAUCGCGUUUAACGCGGGUUAUAAUCUAGUUUUAUUUUAUUUUAUAAGAAAAAUAAAUGUAUAAAUAGUCCUUGUAUUUUAUAAAAAUUAAAAGGUUCGGUCUCUAACUGAGGUUUUGUUGAAAAUGGUCUCUUUGGUUUAUUUUGUUUCAUGACUAGUCCUUAUAGUUUUGUUUUCUUUUAUAUUUGAUCUAAAAUUACUAUUUUAUUCUUAUAUAAGCGGUGCUGUAGAAUUUUUGAAAUAUACAGUACAAUGUUACAGGAUUUCUAGGAAUAUCGAUCCUCUAGAUACAAUNNNNNNNNNNNNNNNNNNNNNNNNNNNNNNNNNNNNNNNNNNNNNNNNNNNNNNNNNNNNNNNNNNNNNNNNNNNNNNNNNNNNNNNNNNNNNNNNNNNNNNNNNNNNNNNNNNNNNNNNNNNNNNNNUAUAUAUACACACACACAUGUAUUAAGUAUGUAAACCACAUAUCUCAUUUGGUGGGUGUGGUAGAUGCUCACAUACUCAGUAAUGGAAUUGAUCAAACUUACAUGAACUGGACUAACACAGAAAAAUAGGUACCACCAAGUAAUUAUGUUUAUUAAGAGGAUUUUGCCAUGAACACAUCAUACGUUGUUGAAUCCAUGGACUUCACAAGAGAAAUGCCAACAUGUGUUGCAGAAAAAGUGGAGAUGGUUGAAGCUACAAAAGAAAAUUUCAUUGGGGACCUUGACAAGUUUAGAGAACUGAUAGGAGAUGUUGAGAAGCCCCCUAUAUAAAGGGUGUUCUAACUUCGCAAAGUUAUAUGCAAUCAUACAACUACUAAACUUGAAGAGUAAGUAUGGAGUAUCAGAUAAGUGUUGGAUUAGAUGUUUAAGCCCAUAACUAUUAUUGGUAUGUAUUCGACCCAAGAGUAGCAUGGUCCAUUUGGGUUGCAUAACACCAUGACAAUUUGUUAGGAUGGACUCUUAAGAAAAGGUUAUAUAUGAUUUAUUAAUAUAUUAUAAGUCCUAAUAUAUUAAUAUGAAAUCAUAUGUUUUAAUUAGUAUUGAUCGAGAAUUAAUUUGGAAUUAACUAAGUGAUCAAAAGAGACUAAUUAAAUAUAUGGGGACUAAUUAUGGUAAUUAGCUAUAUUUAUAUGUGUUGGGCUUAUGAUCCAUGUUGGACCAAGUUUAUGUAUAGACACAUAAAGAGUUGGGCCACAUGAACCAUGGAUCAUAACACCCAUGGAUAUGGAUUUGGGUUAUACCCAUGACCUUUGGAAUUCCACAUAUAAAUAUGUUACUUCAUAGCCAAAAUCACCAUUAAUGUAUUCUUGGAGGAUAUGGGCGAUUUUGGUGUGUAGGAUUUUAUCUCAAGUGAUGAGAAUAAAACUCUAGAUCGAUUAGAUCUUUCACAAGUAUGAAUACGAAAAUCAAACAAGACAAACACAGUAAGAGUAUGAACACUGAAUAGACUCAAAUAUGUGCUUAUGAUUCAACAAAGUCACGCCUCAGCAGAGAUCGAUGAAGAACUUCCACUGUAGAGGCGAGCUAGGGUUUACAAAACUCAAAGAGAAAAAUUAUAAAAGCGUGAACUCUUAAGACUGCAUGCAUGUAGCUUAUAUACUAAACCCUAGAACAAAAACAUGCACGCUUGGACAGGCCCAAUACCGGCAAUCAAAACUGGGCUAAGGAUCGAGCCCAUGACGCAACAUAGUAAUCCUAACAAUCUCCCCCUUUGCUUCAAAUGAGGAGAGAGAUUAUUUCUUCUAUGUUGGCUUCACGGUCUUUAUUACUUUGAACAGCCGAGGAAUUAUUGUAAGAAGUGUCUGCCGAAACUGGCUAUACCACCUUAGCAUAUCGGUGAACAACUUCUUGUCAGCUGCACUGUUCUGAUCACACCUCUGAAUGAUCUCCAGGAUAUGCUCCAGGCAAGAAGUUGAAAAGAGGUGUUUGUCAACGAGAGCGAACAGGCAUUUCUAAACUUCACCUCUGAUGAACAUAACAGUGUGGUACUUCGAAUCAAUCUUCCCCUUGACCAUUGUGUUGACAUUGCCUGCUUUGCCCAUAGUCUUAAUCGUGGUUCGCUUGUGAAUGGCAGAGGCAAUCUCCUGGUCCAUCUUCGCUACCUCGUGAAUGUAGCACACAAGCAUUCGCUUGACAUGAUCAAUUAUUGGCUGGUACUCCCAUGGAUUUGACAGAAGAAUGUUGUUGAGGAGUAUCCAGUCGUGGGGAUUAAGGUCCGAUAGAUCAGCAAGGGUGAAGUUGUGAACUGAGCCUUCGGUGCCUCGAGUCACUUUGAAUUUAACAUUAAUAAAAUUCCCCGCUGAGUAGGGCUUAAAAACCUUGACAAUAGUAAUCUUCUUCGAACUCCAGGUCAAGUACUGGGGUUGAGCAAACUCCAAGUAGAACUCCAGCAGAUCCCUAUCUACCUUCGGGUCUGGGGAAGGAAUAGCAACAGUCGAAUUAAAGCAGUGAAAGAUGAAUGCCUUUCGUGUGAUUGACAUGUCAAACUAUGCAUCCUUGGAGUUCUCGAGCCCAAAUGACAUUACUGGCUCAAGCCAAAGUAUGCUGGGCUCAUCAAUAGCACACCUUUGAAGCGAAUCUAUAGUCCAGAUAGGAAACAUGGACAUCUUCUUUUCUAGGAGCUCCGCCUCCUUUCGCUUUUGCUCGAGCUCAGCCUGUUGUUUCUUGUAGUUUUCUUCCAGUUCUUUUUCAGAGGGCUUUACCUUAUGAAAAGGGUUUUUAGGAUUCUCAGCAUAGACAUCAUCCUCAUUGUCUGUGUCAUUCUCCCAAAUUUUCUUCUUCUUUUUCUCCUUGUUACUGACCGAAGCUUAAUUACCCUUCGGUUCAGUAGAUGGUUUCGGUCCAGGAGGAGGUUGAGUUGUUACCUUCUUUCCCCCUUGUUUCGGCUGGACACCAGUCACCGGAACACCCUCGAUACGACUAAGGAUGUUCAAUGCUGGCCUGAGCUUGUCAUCCAAGUGCCACCGAAUUGUAAUGGUGAUGAUUGGAUCAUGCGCUUCAAUGAGAUGAAGAAGGAUGGAGUGAACAUCAGCAGCAGAACUCCGAAUGACCUCCCUUUCUGACUUCAGGUCGUUGACCUCAGCAGUAGCAGUACGCAGCUUGUAAUUUUGCAUUUUCAGCUGUGAGGUUCUCCUGUCUAGCUCAUACAUGAUACGAUUCUCUACAGCUAACUCGGCCUCCAGUUGAGUCAAUCGAUCAUUGACGUUAGCAUGUAAAGUUUCGUUGGCAGCUUCAAUUGCCUGGCGUGCAGCUUCAAGGUUGGAACGUUCAGAUUGAAGAGAACGUUGAAGAUUAUCCACCGAAGCAUUGACUGUUUGAGCAUUCUUCUUAGCUGCUGUCUUCAAAGAAUCUAGAAAAAGAUGAGCUUCAGAAACUAGUUUAUCGACUUUUGCAGUCGCUUCCUUGCACUCCUUGGUAGAAGCCUCAACAGCAAGAGAGGCUUGAUGGCAUUGAGAAGUGGAUGCUUCAAUGGCUUUAACUGCAGCAGAGAGUGAGGCAUUGUGUUCUUGAACAACAAUUGAGAAUAAAGCCUUUAAUGCCGCUUCAGAGUAAGCUCCAGAGGAAGAGAAUGAGAGCAGUUGAUCAAGUUUUUCGUUCACUGCCUUGAGAUGACGCUUUGUAACAGGCUCAUCAUCAUCAUCGUCACUCUGUACACGGUAAGGACUAAAAUACGUGGAAUCAAAUUCCAAAUCCUCACCGCCUAGAAUAGGGGUUGUUUCUGUGGAUGGAGUAGGAGAUAAGGAUUUGGUAGUGGCUGGAGGUUCGGUUGUGAUAGGGGGUUCGGUUGUUACUGGUGGAGUGGGAGCGGUAGAGUGAGCUCCUGUGGUAGUAGUGGUAGUAGUAGUGUAUGUGAAUAUGGGAGUAGGGAUGGGAAUUAUAGUGAAUGGUUGAGUGGUUGGAAUGAGAAAUAUUGGAGGGAUGGAUACUGGGAUGGUUACAGGUGGAGGUGACGGAGGGUGAGAGCGAACUGGAAUUUAUGGGGUAGGGGAGCGAGGCGGAGUAUCACCUCGGCCUGAAGCCUCAUCAUCAGAGCUUUCGCUCUCAGAUUCUGAAGGAGGAGCAUUCUUAUGUUUGGCAGGAACAUACUCUGAGUCUGAAUCACUUGAAGAUUGGAGUAUGAGCUUCCUUGCAGGCUUCUUUUGUUUCUUCAGUUGAGCCUGUGAGGUAGCAGCCUUGUCAGACUUUCGCUUCUUGGGGGUUUGCCCCUUGGUUGGUUUGGAAACCGGUGCCUCCUUCUGAUUCUCAAUCUUCUUGCCCUUUUUUUCUGGCUUGUCAGCCUCUUCAAUGAAGCGAACCAUGGUUAGCGUAAGCUCCAUUGGACCUAAAGAUGGAUGCUUCCUGUAUUGUUGUAGAACGUUACUCGAUGCAGAGACACAAGCGAGCAUGGUUUCAGGAAUAGAUCCAAUAAAUGAGUACUUUGUGGGAUCUGUGACAAUGAUUUUGGUUGUAUGAAAGGUGGCAAUGGAGGAGAGAAGAGAAUCCGCCAUGAUUGGAACAUGAAGGCGAUCCAUUGCUCAGUUGGUGAUGAUUGACCAAAAUCACCCACACGAGAUCUCAGAGUGUCUGGAUGAAGAAACCAAGCUUUGUACCAAUUGCUGCCAGAUAAUAGUUUCAUAAUCCAAGUCGAUCCCAUGGUACAGUCCAUAUAACACAGUCAUAAGAGACUUGCUUACACCAUCUGAGCCGACGCUUCGCUCAGAGAGUCCCUUGAACAACAACGUGAAAAGGCCAUUCCAUUGAGGUGGAAGGCAGGACUUCUUGAACUUGGUGAUUGUGGUGAGGGUUUCAGUAUACCCCGUCUGAUAAAACAUAGAAAACAAUUGACCAGUGGUGAUGGAUUCAGGGUUUACCAGAGAUUGUUCUUGAGAGAGACCAAUUAGGGCACAAAAGCAGUGCUUGGAGAUAGAAGUCUUCUCGUUGUGGAUCUCAAAGUGAAUCCUUUCAUGAAUCUUGUCGUAGUAAGCAGUGGAGUAGACAAGAGAAAGGCAGGACAUUGGAACAAUCUCGACUCUGGUCAGAGCAUCGACCAAAGGAGAGUACUUAAGACACUCAGCUACAUACAACAUGUAGGGUUCAUAGAUAAAGGGGGUGAGAUCGAUGAUCAGGUUUUGUUGUGGUUUGAUUGUGAUGAGAGUUUGGCGAACAAAGGUGUCAUGAACUGAGGAAGAGUCUGCCAUUGUUGAAGCUUGGAGAAGAUGAUGAACAGUAAGAGAAAUCGUCGUUCUUUGAGAAAGUUUUAGAAGUGAUAAAAGGUUAAAGAUUACCGUUCCAAUUCCUUUUAUACGUACAAGGAGGAGAGAGAAAAAUCCGGCUGAGAUCUUGGAUUAUUUCAAAAAUAGCGCCUGACUUGACGAAUGAACAGUUGGCAUACCGAUGAUGACGCAGGAAAGAGAAAGGAUGUUUCCUUUUUUCACAUCAUUCCAUAAAAUUCACUUUUUCAAAUCGCCAAAUCGAUUGGAUAACCGCUGAGUCAGCUUUCACUUUAUCCCAAUCAUCACUCCAAAAUACAUUUGAAUCGUCGUUGCCUAUUAUGCUUUAUUGAACAGCCUUAAAAGAACCAGAGUGUGGAAAAUUAAAAAAUUUCGUGCAUAGGGCGUAAAAGAUAAAGAAAUAAAGCAAACGUUUUGGGAUAAUAUGUGAUGCCUUAAAUAGACAUAAAACAAUGGAUUCUGGGCACGAAUCACUUCCUUCAAAGUCAAGAGAGACAUUAAAGUGCUUGCUUGGUUUCCCAUUAAAUAACGAUCAAUAACUUGUUGAGAAGUAUUGAAAGGCAUCUUUUUGAAGGUUAUAAAGGGUGGCUUUCGCUUCAAUUCAUAAUUUCGAUACUUGACAUAAGACCGAAACUGAAUGAAGUACUUGUCAGAUCAUUGUGAUUUGUUGAACAAGUAGGUAGGAUAAAUUUUAUAGUGACAAAAACGAAGUAAAGAAAUCUCAAAAAAAAAAUUGGAUCUUUAGGGUAAGAAAAGCCUUGGUGUAAGACAAAUUCAUAAAGAUCACUCAAAAGCAAAAAGAGAUUUCAUUAGGUAACAAGUAAGAUCUUGAAUAUGAGAAUUCACCGUCAAUUCAUUAGUGGUGUUGAACUUUGGGUUUCACUUAGUACACAGUGGCAUGAAACUAAGAUCACGAACGCAAAUUUUGUAUAACCAUAAACCUCAGUGGUUAAUACUGAGAGUCUUAGGGGUUAUAUUGGUGAAACGAAUUAUAAUUGAGAAAAAUGACGGAGAUGGUUAAAGAAGCGAAUGUACCUUUGCUUUAAAGAAAAAGAAUGACCAAGCAGAAAACUCUAAACUCAAUGUGAAUAAAGUAAGGUAGCUCAUGAUUAGAGUGAAUAUUACAGCCUGGAUUGGGAAAACAAGAUUCGUAUAUAUCAUGUUAUUAAGGCUUCACUCAAAAUCUUUCGAGGCUUUAGUCAACAUACAACAACAUGCUUCUAGGGACUCCUAACUAAUAAAAAUAUUUACCUGCCUUAGCUUCGCCAUCGAGAAUCACACUUACACAAAAAGAAAAACUUUAGAUAAAAAGAAAAAUAAAAAAUAAAAAAAUAAAAAUAUUUUUGUAUUUUGUGAGAAUUGACCAAUUGAACAAAAGAGAAAAAUAUUUUUGGAUUUUAUAAGUAGAAAAUAAGUAUUUAAAAAGUGUACAAAAGAAUACAAUCAAAAUGCCUUGAUAAGAAAAAGAAGCGAACGAGUUCAGAAGGACCGAACCCGAAAUAGACCGAACUUUCGGUUCAUUUCGGUUCGCUCUAUUUCGCUUGUUACCUUUAUUAGAAUUGACCAAUUGAACAAAAGAGAAAAAUAUUUUUGGAUUUUAUAAGUAGAAAAUAAGUAUUUAAAAAGUGUACAAAAGAAUACAAUCAAAAUGCCUUGAUAAGAAAAAGAAGCGAACGAGUUCAGAAGGACCGAACCCGAAAUAGACCGAACUUUCGGUUCAUUUCGGUUCGCUCUAUUUCGCUUGUUACCUUUAUUAAAGCAAAGGCGAUUUCGGUACGGAUUCGGCUUGCAUCAUUCCUAGGCGUUGUAGAAUCUUAUUGAAGCUCGCUUCAGGUAAAGCCUUAGUGAAUAUAUCUGCCAGUUGAUCGGUUGUCCUGACGAAGUGAAUUUCUACGUUACCAUCUUCAACGUGAUCCUUGAUAAAGUGGUACCUCAGUGUUAUAUGCUUGGUCUUCUAGUGUUGCACUGGGUUGUGACAAAUCCUAAUUGCGCUUUCAGAGUCACAAUAUAGUGGAAUUUUCUUCAUGUUUAGCCUGUAAUCCCUAAGCUGACUUUGUAUCCAUACGACUUGAGAUGUGCAUGAUGCUGCAGCAAUGUAUUCAGCUUCUGCAAUGGAGAGAGAAACACAAGUUUGUUUCUUCGAUUGCCAGCUAACCAAUUUACCAUCUAGAAGUUGGCAUCCUCCAGUGGUGCUUUUACGAUCUAAUCCACAGCCACCUAAGUCAGCAUCUGAGAAUGCUUGAACAAAGAAUCCUGAGUUGGCUGGAUACCACAGACCGAGAGAGGAGGUUCGCUUCAGAUAGCGAAAGAUGUUUUUCACGGCUUGCAGAUGAGGUUCACGUGGGUUAGCUUGAAAUCUUGCACAGUAACAGACUGAGAACAUGAUGUCAGGUCUACUAGAUGUGAGAUACAUCAGAGACCCAAUCAUUUGUCGAUAGAGCGUCAUAUCAGUGGCUGGUUUUUCCAAUGAGGGUGUAAGCUUUGUUCCAAAGGCCAUAGGCACGUUCACUUUAGAGUCUCCCAUCAUCCCAAACUUAGCCAAUAGUGUCUUGGUGUAUGCCUCCUGAUUAAUAAAAAUGCCUUCGGGUCCUUGUCUAAUGUUUAAUCCAAAGAAAAAGUUAAUUGGACCCAUUGAGCUCAUCUCAAAUUUAGUUUCCAUCAACUUCCUGAAUUCAGCUGUCAAGCUAGGAUUCAUGGAGCCAAAGAUGAUGUCAUCAACAUAAUUUUGGACUAUCAUAAGGUGGUUACCUUCUCUCUUGCGAAAGAAGGUUGGGUCAACCGAACCUUGUUUGAAUUUAGACAUUUUUAAGAAACGAGUGAGAGUUUCAUACCAUGCUCUGGGAGCCUGUUUUAGGCCAUAUACAGCUUUGUCAAGGACAUAACAAUGAUCUGGAUACUUCUCGUUCACGAAGCCUGGCGGUUGCUCAACAUACACAGUUUCUUCAAGUUCUCCGUUGAGAAAGGCACAUUUGACGUCCAUCUGAUAGACUUCAAAGUUCUUGUGAGCUGCAUAGGGAAGAAAGAUACGAACAUACUCUAAUCUUGCAACUGGAGCGAAGGUCUCUUCAUAAUCGAUGCCUUCUUCCUGACAGUAUCCUUUGACCACCAGCCGUGCUUUGUUACGAAUGACAUUCCCCUCCUUUUCCAUCUUGUUUCUGAAUACCCAUUUGAGACCGACAACCGAAGCAUCCUUUAGAGUUGGAAUAAGACGCCAUACUUUGUUUCUUUCAAACUCAUUUAACUCAUCUUGCAUGGCUUGAACCCAGUCUGAAUGAUCAAGUGCAGAGUUAACGGUCUUCGGUUCAACUUUGGAGACAAAGGAGUUGAACAUGCAAAACUCUACUUGAGAAAAGAGUGCAACUUGUUUCACUUUGAUUUGAGAUCGAGUUAACACCUUUUCUGAAGAUUCCCCGAUAAUUUAACUUUGAGGGUGAUCUUUGGUCCAUUUGAUAAGAGGUGGGUAAUUUGGAUCAUAAGUGGGAUCCAAAUCUGCAUUUAUUUCUUCUUCUAAUUCAGACAGAAUGUCAUCAUCAAUGACGUUGGUGUUCUCCCCCUUGAAGAAUGACGCAUGUUCAGUACCUGUAUUGGUAUUCCCUCCUUUGAUUGGAUUCCCAGAAGAUCUUGAAGAAUGAGACGAUAAUCUCUCCCCCUGGAACGAUGAACCUUGAUCAUGAUGAAGAGAUGGGCCCUCCCCCUGGACAUUAGGACAGUCACUUGAAGGUUCGCUUGCUUCUGGCCUUUCGGUUUCUUUGGAUUGUUCAUCAGCCAUCUUUUGAGCAGCGUCGUCGAUAAUUUGUUUUAGAUUAUCAACUUUGUUGUCUUUUGCAGUUGAUUCAGAGUCAAUCGCCUUUUGAGGCUCAUCAAACAGAAGCAAAUAUUGGUCAAAAAGAUUUGAAAUAGAGGUCGUAACCUGACCAUUCUUUGGAAAGAUUUCCUGCGUUGCAUCUUCUGUUGAUUUCAUCUUCUUAACAUAACUAUUGUCAAAGGUGACAUAGUAUGUUUCUUUAAUCUUCUUUGAGCGCUUAUUGAGAACUCUAUACGCCUUGGAGUUCAGGGAGUAGCCUAAGAAUAUUCCUUCAUCAGCCUUAGCAUCAAACUUAUUUUGAUUCUCUCUGGAGUUGAAGAUGAAGCAUCUUGAACCGAACACAUGAAAGAAUUUCACAUUCGGUUUACGAUUAUUCAAAAUCUCGUAAGGUGUAAUGGAGAAUCGCUUGUUCAAAUAUGAUUUGUUUUGAGUAUAACAAGCAGCGGCAAUUGCAUCAGCCCAGAAAUACAGAGGUAAGGACGCGAAGCAUAGCAUUGUUUGAGCUACUUCACACAGAGAACGUUUCGUCUUUCAACGAUACCAUUUUGCUAUGGAGUAUAUGGGGCUGAGAAAUUGUGAGUUGUUCCCUUUUCAGCAAGAAAGUCUUCAAAAUCCUUGUUCUUGAAUUCUAAGCCGUUGUCGCUUCUCACGUUACGAACGACUUUCCUUAGUUGUGUCUCUAGCUGUUUUAUAAAGAGCUUAAGCUUUGGAGUGGCUUCAGACUUUUGCUUCAGGAAGAACACCCAUGUAAAUCGAGAGAAAUCGUCCACUAUAACCAGAAUGUACUUGUUUCCACCAAUGCUUUCAAUGGACGAGGGACCACACAGGUCAAUAUGUAAUAGCUCCAAUGGUUCUAUCACCUUAGUAUUGAUAAUAGAAGGAUGACUUUGCCUACUCUGCUUUCCCAUUUCACAUGCUGCACAAAGAUGCUCUUUAUCAAAUUUUAGAACUGGAAGACCUCGAACAUGAUCACCAAAAACCAACUUGUUGAUAUCCUUGAAAUUCAGAUGAGUGAGUCUUCGAUGCCAUAACCAACUUUCAUCAGAGUGAGCCUUUGUGAGUAAGCAAACUGUUGGUUUACCUCAAAUUGGGUUGAGGUUCAAAGGAUACAUUUCCCCCCUUUUGCUUUGACUUCAGCAGAACGUUAUUAGAUUUCUUCUCGACAAUCUCUGAGCCUUCAUCAUCAAAUGAUACUUUCAAUCCAAUGCCAACUACCAGCUGUGAUACACUGAUAAGGUUGUGUUGGAGCCCUUCAACAUAAGCCACUUUUCUUAUAGAGAACUCGCCAUUAGUGAUCAUUCCAUAGCCUUUGAUAGUACCAAAUGAGUUAUUGCCGUACUUCACAAUACCACCAUCCCUGAGAGACCGAAACUCCCUCAAUUCUUCCUUCCUCCCUGUCAUGUGACAAGAGCAGCCACUAUCACUAUACCAUUCUUCAUCAAACUGCUCAUCACGAAUAACCUGCAAAAUAUUAAGCAGAUUUAGGAACCUAAAGUUUCUUGGGUCCUUGUGAGCCUUUUACAGGACAGGGAAUAGUAAGAGAAAUAUCAACCAUGUAAGUACGUUUAAUUAAAGUUGUUUCAUCUUUUCUUUUUAUGGUGAAAACUUUAAUUUUGGUUGAUUUAGUAGGAUUGGAAUUUGUGGUGUUGACAUCAGCAUUCUUUUGGAUCUCUUUUGGAAGUUUGUUAUCUUCUGGAAAGAGUUUUCCUUUUCCCUUUAAAUCAAUUGAAGGACAAGAAUUGGAAUGUGAAGUGUUGGAUUCAGAAGUGGCUUUGGAUCUCUUGUGUUUCUGAUUGGACUUGAGUGGAUGGGGACCGAAACUGCUCUUUCGGUUGCAAUUGGGUGGAGAGCCGAGACCGCUCUUUCGGUUGAUAUUGCUUCGAGGACCGAAACUCUCAUUUCGAUUCCUUUCAGUCGAGGGACCGAACCUCUCCUUUCGGUUGAGGGACCAAAACUACCCUUUCGGUUGGUGUUGUUCUGAGGACUGAAACUACUCUUUCGGUGCAUUUCGGUCAUGGGACCGAAACUCCCCUUUUGGUUCCUUGAUUCCUCUUGCGAUUUGUGCUUCCUGUCUAUCCUUAUAAAGUGAGGAUUUUGUGAUUUCCAAAACUGUUUUCUCUCUGAGAGAUUCUUCUUAUAUCUCAGAUUUCUUUAGUGUUUACGAUCAGCCACCUGUUUUGGAUUUCUGUGGAUGUUGGCCUUUCUCUUUGAAGCAUGAGCACAACAUUCACUUUUCGCUGAGGAUGUUUCACUAGUGGUUUGCGCAAGUUCUCCCAAUGAGGUUUUGGUUCCACUUGUGCUUGGCACAUCAUAUCUUGCAGGAUCAUUUAGUGGUUCGGGUAUAUAUCUACCUUUCACUCUCCAUGAGGUCUUCUGAGAUAGGCCCUUAGUCUCAUCAGCGUUGUCUAUUGGUGCUGACCAGAAAAACUCGUCACAUCCGCCAACAUUAUCUUCUUCCACCAUAGCUGUCAAUUCUGCAGUUUGUUGUGGAGUGACACCCGGUACCGUGUAGACUAGAUUUGGAGUGGUUUGUACCUUUUGGUACACAACAACUUUUGCUUUGAGAACUUUGGUCUUGUCAGUAGACGAGCGAGCAAACUCAACAGAGUUUUCAGAAAUCAAGUUUUUGCGUGACUUAGGUUCGCUUUUGAAAAAAUAUGAAUAGUCCACCACAUCCUCUAUAGAGAUUUCACUUAGAUCAUCAUCCUCAUUAAGUUCAGAUGCAUUUUCAACAUCAAUUUUAUUUUCUGAACUUAAUUUCGCAUUCAAAGAGUCAAAUUUUUGUACGGUUUCGGCUCUUAAUUUCAAUCUAUCAUUUUUGUCUAACAUAUUUUUAAGCAUGUCCUUGUGGUCUUUGGAAUUUAUGUAGGAUUCAAUUUUGUCCAGGCCGAUUUUAUAUGCAGGAGAAACCUCGUCAGAAGAUACAACGCUUUCACAGUUGUAGGCUUCAGCAUCGAUUUCAUCCUCCUUUAACUCAAGGAAGGGUAAAUCAUGCGAUGUAUCUUCUUUCCUAUUUCACAAUCAAGAUGCAACUGAGUAAUGUUAAAAUAAAGUCUUUUAGCAAUCAAACAAAACACAUUUCGUUGUUUAAGAAGUUUAAGAUUGUCUCUUUGCAAAUAAAUUGAAUCAUCCUUAGACCUAAUCAACUCCUUCUCCUUCUGCUCGAUCCACACCCUCCUUUCCUCACUCUUUGAUGAAAUCUUGCUAAUUUGAUCAAUUAGGUUAGAAUUUGUGACACGGGUUUGGGUGAGACUGCUACUUAUGCUUGGAAAUUUAGAUUUUAAGUUAUUUAAUUCCUUUUCAAAGUUAAUAACAGGUAUUUUUAGAGAAGCAAGAAUAUUUUGUACCUUCUUGAUCAACCCAUCACAUUCGUUGAUUUGUGCAUUGACAGGUUUGGCAGCAAAACACUUGUCCUCUUGCUCCUUCUCGCCUUUUAUUCCCCCGUCGGUUGUAUAUCCUCUCAUUUGAGACACACCUUCGGUCACCACAAUGCACCUUCCUGUUACAGGUUCUUUUUUCGCCAGCAUAGCCUUCCUAUGAGUGGGCUUCCUGACUUCUUCAUCCUCUGAAUCUGUGAACCAAACUUCCACACCACCAAAUUAAUCACGAUUGUCUGUAUCCUGCAUAAUUAAAGCAUUCAUAGUAGUAUUGUUAGCAGCAGACUUUCUUUUCUUGAUUUCCUCCAGUCUUCUCAGGAGGCUCGCUUCCUCAUCUUCAUCAUUUAUCUUUUCUUCUUUCUUUUUCAUCAUACAAUCUUUUGCAAAAUGGUUAUUGCCUCCAUAGUAAUGGCAAUCAAAUCCUGAGUCUCCUCCAACUUUCGCUUCUUUCUUUGACUCUUCAGACUUUGACCCCAUCUUCGGUUCCUCCUUGAUCUUUUCGGCGUUGUAACUUCCCUGCCAGUUUCGGUUCUUGUUGGCUUGGAAUUUCUUCUUAAUGAAUUUUCUGGGAUUGGAUACCAUCAUGGCAUAUUCUUCCCCGGUUAGAUCAUAAUUGGCAAGAUCCAAUUCAUCUUCUUCUUCAACUGAGCUUUUUUCCUUUAGAGACAAGAGCUAAAGAACCUAAACUGGAAACCACAUUCGUUUCCUUAGACAGUGCACUUUCAUGGGAUUUCAGAAUACCCACUAGUUUCGCCAGAGAAUAUGACUUGAACUGUUCGUGAGCUUUAACUGUAGAUACAACAGUCAUCCAUUCGGAUCUAAGACCGUUAAUGAAAGUAACUUUUUGUUCAAUAACUUUCCUUUCAAUCCCAUGCUUUAUCAUCUUGCUUAAAAGAUGAUUGAAGCGAUCAAAGGCUUGAACAAGUUUCUCUUCAGGCUUCUGCUUAAAGUCUCCAAAUUCAGACAUCAAGAGAGUUUGAAUUGAAUGUUCCAAGUCUUCGUCAGUGGAAUACAAUUCUUUUAAUCUAUCCCAGAUCUCUUUAGCCGUGGCACAAGAACUUACCAAACGAAACGUAUCUGACUGCAGCUCAAACCUUAUCAUCCUCAGGGCCUUGAUGUUGCAUUGAAACUUUUCCUUCUCGUCUUGAGGAAUAUCUUUGACAUUGUUAACAAGCUUAUUGUACUCUUUCUAAGUUUUGACAAUCUUAGAGGUGCUUGAGUGAGCGAAUGGCCCAACAGUGAUCGCUUCCCAGAUCAAGUAUCCAUUGUCCUCCGAUCCAAUCACAUAAUCUUCAAAGUGAUGCAUCCAAACUUCAUAGUCUUGAGUAUACAAGAUUGGAAUCCUUGUAGUAGAACCAAUGUUGUUUGAGAUGUUGAUUGGAUUGGUUUGUGAAUCAUCCAUGGACAUUGUAAUGACUUUUGAUCGAUUACUUGUAAAAGAUCAGACUUGUAAUAUCUCGUUAGGGUUAGAUCAACGAUUAAUGAGAUAGGUCAAUAUGGAAUGACGGCUCAAUUAAUAUCAAUCAAUGCGGAAUUAAAAACCCUAAUCACUUCUUCGACAGAAGAGAUGUGUAUGAAUUACAUAGUCUCCUGCUCUGAUAUCAAUUGAUGAGAUUAAAACUCUAGAUCGAUUAGAUCUUUCACAUGUAUGAAUAUGAAAAUCAAACAAGACAAACACAAUAAGAGUAUGAACACUGAAUAGAAUCAAAUAUGUGCUUAUGAUUCAACAAAGUCAUGCCUCAGCAGAGCUCGAUGAAGAACUUCCACUAUAGAGGCGAGCUAGGGUUUACAGAACUCAAAGAGAAAUUUUUUAAAAGCGUUAACUCCUAAGACUGCAUGCAUGCAGCUUAUAUACUAAACCCUAGAACAAAAACAUGCACGGUUGGACAUGCCUAAUACCGGCAAUCAAAACUGGGCUAAGGACUGAGCCCAUUACGCAACAUAAUAAUCCUAACAUCAAGUAUCAUCAUUUGUCCUAGGUGAGUUGUGAUUCCAUUUGAGGUGCAACACUUGGGGCACUAAGUUCUUAAAGGCUAAAGUCUUUCUAGCAACACCAAAUACAUUAAGACUUCAAGCCACAUAAAAGGUAUGUUAUUCUAACUAGUAUCUUGUAUUGUUUAUGUCAAAUUGCAUGCUAGUUAUAGGUUAAUGCCUUGGAAUCCAUUUGCAUGUAUAUUUACUGAAAACAUAGAUCCAAGGUGUUUAGGGUUGUAUGUGCACCAUAGGAUGUUGUAGUAUACUAAAACUCAUCAGUGUUAUCAGAGCCAAGGCUUGUUUUCAAUUAUACUUGAUGCAAAUUGUUGAAAAAAUCGAUUUUUUGGCUGUUUGGACUGUGGACUCACCAAGUCCAUGAAGAAAUUCAUCCUACUCGUCGAGUAGGUUCAUACACUCGACGAGUAGGAGGCCCGGAGUGCAGAUUUUUGACUUUUAAGGUUGGAAUUGAACUAGAAUCAUUAUCCUAAGCUGUUUUUGAACUUAUGAACUUGUUUUUGAUGUGGUAAUGACCAUUCUAAUCCAAUUCAAAAGAUAAUUGUCAACCGAUUCAUGUUUUGUAUUAGUUUAAUGGUUAGGCUAAUUACAUGAAAAUUGUUUGAUUUGAUUUUUCUUGUUCAUAUGAGUUUAAUCUAUAUCAUAGUUUUUCUUGACAUGCUUGUUAGUUGAAUUGAUGAUCUUGGUGUUUUUAAUGUAUUCCAUAACUUGUCCUCAAGUUAUGAAAAACCAAAAGUUUUUUGUGUUAAAUCUUCAUUAAAGUCAUAGGUUACACAACUGGAAGAGUCGUUUCCUCAUAAAUAGUUUUAUGUACUCCAUAACUUGUCCUCAAGUUAUGGAUGUUCAAGAGUCUCUUCAUUAAAGUCUUUAAAACCCAUAUUAAACUCAUAUGUUAUGAAAUUGAAAAGUUUUUUGAAAUGUUCAAAACUUGCUCUCAAGUUUUGGAAUUUGUAAAGUUUCCCCCCAUUAAUACUUUAAUUCUAAGUUAAACCUUUAGAAUUUUAAAAGUUAAAAUUCAACCUUUAGAAUUUUGAUUUGAUUUGUCUUGUUCAUAUGAGUUUAAUCUAGAUCAUAGUUUUUCUUGACAUGCUUGUUAGUUGAAUUGAUGAUCUUGGUGUUUUUAAUGGAUUCCAUAACUUGUCCUCAAGUUAUGGAAAACCAAAAGUUUUUUGUGUUAAAUCCUCAUUAAAGCCAUAGGUUACACAACUUGAAGAGUCAUUUCAUCAUAAAUAGUUUUAUGUACUCCAUAACUUGUCCUCAAGUUAUGGAUGUUCAAUAGUCUCUUCAUUAAAGUCUUUAAAACCCAUAUUAAACUCAUCUGUUAUGAAAUUGAAAAGUUUUUUGAAUUGUUCAAAACUUGCCCUCAAGUUUUGGAAUUUGUAAAGUUUUCCCCCAUUAAUACUUUAAUUCUAAGUUAAACCUUUAGAAAUUUAAAAGUUAAAAUUCAACCCUUAUACUAUUAUAAUAUUAAUAGUUAAUAGUUAUAUAUAUGUAUAAGAACAAAGUCAGUCUUACCGUUAUUAGGCCUCAUUCAUGAAGCCGGUCUAUCAGGGGGUAUAAGGUUACUGCCUAUAACAUGGCAGUUUAAUGGGUGUCCACUUUCACCCACCGCUUCCUUGACUGGUGGAGGGUCGUUAGCCGAAUGGGUUUGACAGGAUAUUAAAUCCACCUUCAUUAAAAGUAUAAUGAUAAAUAUACAGUAACUAAACCUUAUUAAAUUCCCAAUCUUAGUUACUUUAUGAAAAUGUGAAUUUGGUGCUAACCCAUGAAAUUACACUUUGUACCUUACCAAGUCAUUGGUGGAGCGUGUGUGGGUAACCAACACACUAACAUGGACUAGUAAGAGUGGCAACGAGUAACUUAAUGUUUAUCAUAGAUUGGUGGAGCGUGUGUGGGUAACCGACACAUCGAUUAGGUGAUAAAAAUUAAUGGUACCAAGUUAAUUUGCAUGGUUAUUCACACCUUGUUUGUGAUCCUCGACAUCCCAAUCACAAACUUGAGAGGGCACAACCGAGAUUUAAACAUGCCGUUGAAAAGUUCAAUGAAUCUCAAAAGAUCUAGGAGUUUCAAUCCAAUUAAAACCCUAUUAGGUUUUCAUGGUGGAAAUUGGUGAAUCGUCGUUCUCCUACCUUCAAAUAUUUUAUAGCUUGGAUUACCACAUUCCUCUUCCAAGUUAUAAAAUAUUGUGUUGGGUCCUAGCCUUAAUAUUUCAUAUUGGGUGUUAUAUUAAGGACUUAAAUCAACUAACUUGAAUUUCACUCAUUGUAGAUGUCUGGUUCAGACAACUAUGAUCUUCCUAAAUCUCUUGAAACAAGUUUUCCUAAUGAAGAUGAUGUCCCGUGGUUGGAUCAUGGAAAUCAUACUUCUCUUCCUCCACCUCCUCCAAUUAUUCUCCCUAGCCUAUGAGUUCUUGAAAAGUUCAAGGUUACUCAAGCCCUAUUGGCAAGCAAAGUCUAUGUGUGCUCACAUCUUGGAGAUGAAGUCACAUAUUGACAAGUCGGGAGAGUUGGGUGUCAAAGUCUUGAGGAAGUUGGUUGUUUACUAGGUUUUUCAGUCACUUCCUAAGUCACAUAGUGAGUUCUUUUAGGACUAUUAUAUGACCAACCAUGAUAUGACCCUUAAAGAUCUUACCUAUUUGCUUGAUGCUGCUGAAUCANNNNNNNNNNNNNNNNNNNNNNNNNNNNNNNNNNNNNNNNNNNNNNNNNNNNNNNNNNNNNNNNNNNNNNNNNNNNNNNNNNNNNNNNNNNNNNNNNNNNACCUAAUGAAUCAUCUGCGGAUGUGGCUGCAAUAUCUUGAUUCAAAGAACAUGGAACUGGAAUGAUAGAUUCAGAGGAAUCAAUUUUAUCUUCAGCAAAAGGAGCUUCAUCGAAUGGACAAGAGAUAAGCUCUUGAAAGAUAGAAGGAGAAUGAGUGACUUUUUCAUCAGUGUAUGAUUCGUCAUCAAACUUCACAUGAAUGGAUUCUUCAACACAUUGCCUGUUCACAUGAAAAACACGAAAAGCCUUUGAAAUAAACGAGUACCCAACAAAAAUGCCUUUAUCAGCUUUAGGUUCAAACUUAGAUCUUGGGUCACGCUGAUUUAGAAUAUAACAAAUGCAUCCGAACACAUGAAAAAAGGAUACAUCUGGUUUUCGAUCUUUCAGCAUUUCAUAUGGAGUCUUCUUGUGAAUCCUGUGAAUUAGAGAUCGAUUCUGAGUAAAACAUGCUGUAUUGACAGCUUCAGCCCAAAACGACAUGGGAAGACCAGCAUGAAUCAUCAAGGUUCUUCCUGCCUCAAUCAGUGUUCUAUUUCUUCGUUCAGCAACACCAUUUUGCUGAGGAGUACGAGGAGCUGAGAAGUUUUGUCCAAUUCCUUUAUGAUCACAAAAUUCUUCAAGAGUUGAGUUUCGGAACUCAGUACCAUGAUCACUUCUUAGUUGCUUGACUUUAAGACCUGUCAGUGUCUCAUUUUUACGAAUCAGUGAGAUAAUUUCCUGUGCAGCCUGACUUUUCUUCUUCAAGAAAAUUACCCAUGUAAAUCGAGUGAACUCAUCAACAACCACUAGAGUAUACUUAUUUCCACGUAGAGAACGAACAGGAAUAGGUCCAAACAGGUCCAUGUGGAGUAGAUGAAGAGGGACUGAUAUACUGGAACAUGACUUGGGUUUGAAAGAGGACUUGGUUUGUUUUCCUUGUUCACACGCUGAACACAUCUUGUCUUUCACAACGCUGAAUUUUGGGAGCCCUCUAACUAGGUCUUGAUUGGAUAUCUUAGAUAGAUUCUUGAAGUUCAGAUGAGAAAACCUUUUGUGCCAAAUCCAGCUAAGAUUCGUCUGAGACUUUGUAAAGAAACAUUGCAUCAGUGCCUUGUCACUUGAGAACAUGUCAAGAACAUAUAUAUCAUCUUUUCUACUUGCUGAGAGUACGAUGUUCUUGUCAGUGUUUACAACUCUGCCUUCUUUCUUUGUAAAGUGAACUUCAUAGUCAGCAUCACACAAUUGACUGAUAGAAAUAAGGUUGUGUUUGAGACCCUUAACAUAUGAAACGUUUUGAAAAACCACGUUAUUGCAUUUGAUGUUUCCAUAUCCCUUAGUGAACCCCUUUCCAUUGUCUCCAUAAGUAACUGCAGGACCAGUUUUCUUAACAUAAUCUUCCAGGAGAGACUUUGAUCCUGUCAUAUGCCUUGAGCAACCACUGUCUAAGUACCAAAGAUGCUCCUGACCCUGCAGUGCUGAGAAACUAGUUAGAACACACUGACCCAUUCGAAGAUGGGUCAUUCACAAAGUUAUUUGAUAAUAAAUUAUAACAUUCCUUAGGAAGACAAUUUAAAGAGUUUGACUUAAGAGUCCAUUUUUCAUUCCUAACUUUAAUAUUUUCAGCUCUUGAGGAUGAUUUAUCAAAAGAACAUUCACUGAUCUUGUGAGAGGAGUCACCACAUCUGUAACAAACUCUAGUUCCAAAGUUCUUCUUGGUGAGCAAAUUUUUUGAUUUAACACAUUUUGAUAUGUAAGAUUCACCAAUAGAGCUUUGAGUCCUUUUGUUUAUCACUGAGUCACGACUGAGUUCAGUGUCAGAAGGAAUUUGAUCAGUGUUAGGAGAUGAACUAUCAGUAUCUGAUUUUGACUCAUUCACAGAUGGAUUGCAAUCAGGGAAGUGCUUGAGUUGUUCAUGAACAGCAUGAAACACUCCAUUAGAGAUAGGAAAAGCAAUAAUAUUCUCAGUUAGAGGGGUUGGUCUAACAAGAUGUGCAGGAUAAGAGGUAGGAUCAAUUCCGGUAAUUUCAACAUUACACUCAGUAAUACCAUCAGAAUUAAUAGUACAAUAUUCAUCAAUUAAACUUUGAUUAAUAAAAGAGUUACUGACAAACUUAUUUUUGAAAUUGUUUUUCAUCUCAUUCAUGGAAUAGACCUCAGAUUCCUUUUCUUGUGAUUUAAAAACUUUUUCAGCUUCUGCAAAAUUACCCCCAAGAAUUUUNNNNNNNNNNNNNNNNNNNNNNNNNNNNNNNNNNNNNNNNNNNNNNNNNNNNNNNNNNNNNNNNNNNNNNNNNNNNNNNNNNNNNNNNNNNNNNNNNNNNNNNNNNNNNNNNNNNNNNNNNNNNNNNNNNNNNNNNNNNNNNNNNNNNNNNNNNNNNNNNNNNNNNNNNNNNNNNNNNNNNNNNNNNNNNNNNNNNNNNNNNNNNNNNNNNNNNNNNNNNNNNNNNNNNNNNNNNNNNNNNNNNNNNNNNNNNNNNNNNNNNNNNNNNNNNNNNNNNNNNNNNGGUCAACGGUCAACUUUGACCGGACUCGGCGAGUGCACUAGAGCGACUCGGCGAGUCUAUACGUGUUCACUGACUCCCUAGGAUCCUCUCUUGACACGUCGAGUACUUCCCUGACUCGACGAGUUCCACCUGGCAUGAAUCGUGGGGCCACCACGACUCAACUCGCCGAGUCUCAAGAACAACUCGGCGAGUUCCAGCUUGACUCAGUCCACCUGUCAACCCUCUCUGACUCUCCCUGACUCACUGAGUCAACCCUUAACUCGGUAAGACCACUCGCUGAGUGGUUAUGGACAAUCUUCAUGCUACUCGCCGAGUCUGUUCUUCAGACUCGGCGAGUCUAAGCCAUGCAUGAACUCAAACUCACUCCUGAGGUCAGAUCCAUUCCAGUAACUCAUAGAUCCAGUCCUUCCAAGCACAUUUAUCACGUAAAGUUACAAUCUUGGUGCUCAUGCAAAGGUCUAAAGGCCUUAUUUGAUGAUAUGGUCUCUAUAAUGCUAUUCUAAGCUCAUGGCCUCCAAUAACACUCAUAAAGCUUAAGGGAAAAGAGUCUCUGGACCUCUUUGGGUCCAGAUCUAAAGCAUCAACACAAAAGAGGCCAAUUACUCCAUGAAUCAUUCCACAAAGAAGCCCUAACUCUAAGAUUUACACCAAGGGCUGAGAAAGGAACGAAUGGUUACCUCAAAU
rnacentral:lncRNA from 1 species